CCAAAUCAUAACCAAAACCUAUAAAAAAAAGAAUAUAAGAGGAUCUUGGAUAAACAAAAUUCAUGCUAUACUUCUGAAGAUUAAUUCUCAAAAUUUGAGCAAACAAUAGAAAAAUUUAAAAGAAAGUCUUUAUCAAUAGAGAAAAAACUUUAUUUUUUUCCGAACCCCAAGAAGAAAAAAUUCAGUCAGAAGAAGAAAUAAAAAUUUUCAAAAUUUUAUUUGAUGUCGUUAUAAUUUAUAAUAAUGAUCAAACUCUUAUAAAAAAUUUUAUUGAUUUCCAUGAAAUCAAUAAACAAGUUCCUCAAUGGUCAUACAAAUUAACAAGUGAAUUGGAAGAAUUGGAAGCUGAAACUGAAGAAAAUAUACCAACCGAACCUGGAAUUCGUUCAAGAAAAGCAAAACGUGUAGUGGUUUUUACUGAUUUAAAAGAACCGCAUAACGAGAUUUAUACUAAUCUCAAAGAUAAUCAAAAUUCUGAUCAAACAGAUGAAAUGGCUUUGAUCCGUUAUUCACAACAAUCUGAUUUUCGUCGAGAGAUAAUUAAAGGAUCCAUGCGUUCCCAAAGGCGUAAAACUGUUAUUUGGGAAUUGUUGCAAGCAAAAGCACAUUCGCCCCUUUUUUUUGAUAGAAUAGAUAAAAAUUUUUUUUUUUCGUUUGAUAUAUGGGGGCUAAAAAAAAAAAUUCUUAGAAAUUUCAUGUGGAAAAAAAAAUUUUUUUUGAUAAAAACGAAGAAGAACAAUCAAAAAAGAAGAACAAAGACGUAUAGAAAUUGCGGAAACUUGGGAUAGCUUCUUAUUUGCUCAAAUAAUAAGAGGUUUUAUUUUAGUAACUCAAUCUAUUCUUAGAAAAUAUAUUAUAUUACCUUUAUUGAUAAUAAUUAAAAAUAGCAUCCGUAUCGUAUUAUUUCAACUUCCCGAGUGGGAAGAGGAUUUAAAGGAGUGGAAACGUGAAAUGCAUGUUAAAUGUACUUAUAAUGGGGUUCAACUAUCCGAAACAGAAUUUCCACGAAACUGGUUAACGGAUGGUAUUCAGAUAAAAAUCCUAUUUCCGUUUUAUCUUAAACCUUGGCAUAAAUAUAAAUUUCAAUCAUCUCAGAAGGCUCGACUAAAAAAAACAAAAGGAAGAAAAAAAUGAUUUUCGUUUUUUAACAGUUUGGGGGCUGGAAACUGACCUACCUUUUGGUUCUACCAAACCAAAGCCUUCUUUUUUAAACCUAUUUUUAAAGAAUUAAAAAAAAGAAUCAAAAAAUCCAAAACGAAGUCUUUUCCGGUUUUAAGGAUUUUCAAAGAAAGAGCAACAAUUUUCCUAAAAGUCCAAAAAGAAAUUAAAAACUGGAUUAUAAAAAACUUGCUUUUUCUAAAAGAAAAAAAAAAAAACCUUUCAAAACGAAAUAGAAUUCCAUUAGUUGGCCCGAGAGAAAUAUAUGAAUUAAAUGAAACUAAAAAAGAUUCAAUAAUGAGUAAUCAGAUGAUUCAUGAACUAUCUGUUCAAAAAAAAUCGACGGAGUGGCCAAAUUCUUCACUCAGCGAAAACAAAAUAAAAAAUGUGAUUGAUAAAAUAAAGACAAUCAGAAAUCAAACGAAAAAAAUUUCAAAAGAAAAAGAAAAACUAACUAAUAGUUGUAACAAACUGUGUUAUGAUUCUAAAAUAAUUGAGUCAUCAAAAAAAAGUUGGCAGACAUUAAAAAAAAAAAAAACUCGAUUAAUUCGUAAAUCUUUUUUUUUUUUAAAUUUUGCGUUGAACAACUGUCUAUUUCUAUUUUUCUAGGUAUUAUUAAUAUUCCAAGAAUUACUACACAACUUUUUGUUGAUUCAACAAAAAAAAUUCUUGAUGUAUAUAUUUACAAGAAUGAGGAAAAUGGAGAAAAAAAAAUAAAAAAAAAUACCAUUUAUUUUAUUUCGACUAUAAAAAAUUUCAUAUCAAAAAAAAAUUUUUUUAGUUAUGACUUAUGCUCUUUAUCACAAGCAUAUGUAUUUUACAAAUUAUCACAAAUUCAAGUUAGUAACUUUUUCUAAAUUAAAGUCUUUUUUUGAAUAUAACAUAUACAUAACAUCCUUUUUUGUUAAGAAUCAAAUAAAAGAUUUUUUUCAAGAACAAGGAAUCUUUCAUUAUGAAUGGAAAGAUAAAACCCUUUUAAAUUCCGAAAUAAAUCAAUGGAAAAACUGGUUACGAAGUCAUUCUCAAUAUAAUUUACCUCAGAUUGCAUGGGCUAGAUUAGUAACCCAAAAAUGGAAAAAAAAAAUAAACCAAGACUCUCUAGUUCUAAAUCCAAGUUUAAACAAAGUGGAUUCAUACGAAAAAAAAAUUUUUGAUAAUUACAAAAAACAAAAUUUUUGUGAGGCUAACUUAUUUUUCAAUCCAAAACAUAAACAGAAUUUCAAAAAGGAUUCUAUAUAUAAUCUUUUUUGCUACAAAUCUAUUCAUUCUACAGAAAAAUUUUUUUGAUAUGUCUACAGGCCUAGAAAAUUUUUUAAUCUCUUGUUUUCUAGAAAAAUAUAAUAUUCGGAGUAUAGGGGAAAUUUUGCAUAGAAAAUAUUUGGAUUGGAGAAUUCUCAACUUUUGGUUUAGAAAAAAAGUAUAUUGAGCUUGAUACUAGGAGUAAAAAAGAAUAUAUUAAGACUAAAGUUAAGAAUUNNNNNNNNNNNNNNNNNNNNNNNNNNNNNNNNNNNNNNNNNNNNNNNNNNNNNNNNNNNNNNNNNNNNNNNNNNNNNNNNNNNNNNNNNNNNNNNNNNNNUACUGCAAGUGAUUUGACGGCAGAAGAGAGCUUUUCUAGACCUAGUUUUGUUACAAGUUUCAUUUGGGAGAGAAGAUCACUUGUGAUUGGAACUCCUUGUUCUAUUUCUUUUCAUCUAUUCUAUGAGUUUCCAUUUAUCUAUUGAUAUGAAUUGCUUUGCUAUGUCUGAGUAGUUCAACUGUUAGAUCCAGGGUUCAGAUAGGUUUGUGGGAUUAGCCCAAACUAUAGAUCUGCCUUGUUUUGAUAUUCAUGAUAGAUUUGUAUUCAUUGCUUGUUUUAGCCUUGCUAACUAGAACUUGAUCAUAGGAUUGCAUAUUAAAGCACCCUUGUUAUCCAUCCUGAAAUCUAUCUAUCAAUUAGGAUUGCUAGAGAGGGCUAACCGCCAAUUUAGAAUCUUAGUAGGGCAUUUCAUACUCGCGCAUAGGCCUGGUUAGAACCCGUCGAUCGAUGUCCUCAACUGACAAUCGAUCGAUGUUGGCAAAGGUGUAUCGGUCGACGUCUUAAUAGACAAUCGAUCGACACUCUUUGUGUCUGAAUCUAACCGGUGAGGAACACAGGAUCUAGUCUGUUAACCCGUGGUAACAUGCGGGGACAGCUGAUCACUGAGUUAAGCGAAUGAGCUCUAAUAUAUCAUGCAUUGCAACAGUUAGGCUUCUAUAGGUAUUAUAAUCUCCAACCCUGAAUAGUGGCCCUGCAUCUAAAUAUCACUUCCAACCAAAGUUACAUUUAUUAUUUACUCGCUUGUUACGAUUGCUAUUUCAUUUAAACAUUUGUAACCCUUAGAAUUAAUAAACACUAGAUUUAAUUGUUCCCUAACUCCUUGUGGAUUCGAUCCCUAAGUACUACCUCUGAACCUCUUUUGAUGAGAGUAACACUCCUUAGGAUAAUUUGAGUGGUAUCAAAUUUGGCGUCGUUGCCGGGGAGCUUUGAUCGCCAUUAGAUUUAGUUUUAUUAAUUCUCUUUUUUUUUUUACCCCUUUUCUAAUAAUCUUUUUCUUGUCUUUUCAGGUGCAUGCCCAUCGGUACCAGAAGCAACAAGGAGAAAGACUUGCUGUUCUCAGACGAUCCUGCUCAUUUGGAACGCACCAUCCGUAGAGGUCAACGUUCCACAUCGCUCGAACAAAUUCGUCGUCGAUCGAUACGCACAAUCAACCGUCGACCGACACCAGACAGUCAUCGUCGAUCGGUCUUAGUUGUUCGACAACGAUCAAUACUACACCGCGUACGACGAUCGAUACCGUGUCGUCAAAAAUGGUAAACAUUAUUAUUCUAACUCAGGAUGAGAACGGAAACCUGUAUGACCAGGCCGGUCAUCUGCGUAAUACAACAGGUCAGAAAAUAGAUGCUCAGGGAACUGUAAUCCCUGAUGCUGAUGCUACAGGAGCUGCUCAAACUGUAGAUGAGGACGCUCGAUCAAAACCACUGGCCGACUACAAUCGCCCAGAUGAGUACUAUUCCAACAGAUCAGCUAUUCGACUUCCGGAGAUCCAGAAGCAGAAUUUCGAGCUGAAGCCUCAAUACUACACUCUCGUGUCGCAGAUACCCUACUCUGGGUUACCGCACGAGCAUCCUAUGGACCAUUUGGAACGGUUCGAGGAUCUAAUCGCUGCUAUUCGGAUGGAAGGAGUCCUCGAAGAUUACUUGCUGUGCAAGCUCUUCAGAUACACGCUGAAUGGAGAAGCGAUGCACUAGCUUAGGCAGCAACCCACCGGAUCUUUAACAUCCUGGAGCGACAUCAAGAAUGCUUUCCUACGAAACUUCUUCGAUGAGGUGCGCGCUGAAGAACUUCGGAACAAAAUUUCCACAUUCUCGCAGAAGGCUGGAGAGUCCUUCAAAGAUGCGUGGAUUAGAUUUAGGUUCUUCCAGCGAGACUGUCCACGCCACAGAUUUAACAAAAUGCAGCUGCUAAGCACUUUCUUCCGAGGUCUCGCCUUACAGUAUCAAAUGGCCCUUGAUAUGGCGAGUGAAUGAAACUUCACUACUCGGAAUCCGUUGGAAGCCGUGAGACUUAUCGAAAACCUUGCUAACAGCAGCAGCACCAAAAACACUGACUCUGAACGGAAGAAGUCUGUAGCCUCUAUCGGGAAGGAACAGAUGGACAAGAGUAAGAGCUAAUGUUAGAUGUGGUGCACGAACUUCUUAGGAAGCAAGUCUGUUCAGCUGAAGGAGAAAGUAGCAGAUUGGAAGGAGAAGAAGAUGUGAACUACAUCGGAGGAAACCGGAUUCCAAAAAUUUGGAAACCAGGGCGGAAACAGAAACUUCUUUGGAAAUGGCCAAAGAAGUAACCUAAGUUCACAAUUUCAAAAACCCUUCAACAACAGCAAGAGCUACUCGAACUCUUACUAUCAAAAUCCACCACCCCAGACUCAGGAAAGCAAGAUAGAAGAAAUGGUUGAUCGAGUACUGUUGGGACAACAACAAAUCACUGUGGAUUUCAGCGGUAAGAUAGACUCCGCCUACAACAAUCUGAACACCAAAAUCGAGACCUUAGGGACUCAGGUGAGAAAACUUGAAACCCAAGUAAUUCAGACGGGCGAGACUAUAAAGAGGCAAGAAGCUUUCGCUAGAGAGGCAGGAGCCGACAAAGGAAAACACCACGUAAAUGCCAUCAUAGAUGAUGAUUUCUGGCAAGAGGUGAGAAAGGAAAAGCUUGAGGCAGGAGAUUUCAAAAUCGAAAGCUCCAUGAGUCUCGGCGGAUCCCAAUGGUGUCGACCGAUGUCGAUGAACUCGCAUCGAUCGACAGACCAUGAUGAAGAUCGAUGGACGGAUUACUCCAGUCAUCGAUCGACGUCGUCUGCCAAAUCGACUGAAUGCAAUGCGGUUCGAAUUCUAACUCAUGAAGAAUUCGCAGCUAAGCAUCCUCACCCACCCUCCCCUUUCUAUGACAAAAUCGAUCGAUCGGUUGAGCCAACCAUCGAUCGACAGAGUGAGUCCGACGUCGAUCGUCAAAACACACCUCCCAUCAAUCGACAGGCACCUCUGACAUACCGAGUGCGGUUACCAUCAAUCGAUAAUGAUUACAUCAAUGCACUCAGACCACCACCUAAACCAUUAGCAAACCCACCGAACUAAAACCCAACCCUUGAAAUAGUUCACCAGAAUUUGUUCAAGUAGAACAAGAAUCUGAAGGGAGAAGGUUAAGGAAAAGAAAGGAGAAGAUUCCUAAAAACCUUAAGAGGGAAGCUAACGAUAAGGAGAUAGAUGGUUUCACUAAACGAGUCCUCAGAAUCCCAAUCGAAAAACCUUUUGAUGAAGCUUACUUCACACAACGGUUGUGGAUGUUCUUCAGAGAAACAAAGGUAACCGAGGAGGACAUUAGGAGAAUGUUUCAUCAAGUCAGAGAGAAGAUGAAACACAGGAUCACAUUGACCAAUCCUGGGAAGUUUGCAAUACAAUGCGUAGUCAAGGGUGUUGAAUUUCCCCAUUCAAUGUGUGACACAGGAGCAUCAGUUAGUAUCCUCCCUAGGAUCAUGGCAGACAAGCUUGGUUUGACCAUCGAACCCUCAACGGAAUCCUUCGUGGAUCUUUCAGAGAAACGAUCAGGAGGUAUCAUAAGAGAUAAGGAGGUACAGAUUGGUAAUGCCCUUGUCCCUGUAGAUUUUCAUGUCUUAGACAUCGAGCUUAACUGAAACUCUUCACUUCUGCUUGGAAGAUCUUUCCUAGCUACAGUAGGAGCUAUAUGUGACAUGAACAAAAGCAAAUUGUGUCUAACGCUCAUAGACCCAAACAUCCACUACGACCCCAUCCGACCUAAGAGAAAGGUCAUUAAUUCUGUGGAUUAUGGGAAAGAACUUGGCUUCAUUGGCGCAUGCCAUUGUGGAGCAGAGUAUGAAUCGGAGUACGAAACAGAGUACUCGGAAUCGAUCGACACCCCAACCUUUCCAUCGAUCGAUUCAAAUGAGUCAACGGUGACCGAUGACCGCAACAACACGUCACUCGACGUAAUGCACCCAAUUGACCAUUUCGCUUCACCUAAUCAUUGUUACCAAAAUUUUGCCUUCCAACCUCCAAGCAAGAGAGGACAUGAUGAUUAUUCCAUAGGCAGUUGGGCAGACAGUGGUUUCCAUGAAAGUUUCGCAGUUGAAACUGUAAUUACUUCACCUAAUGAGGAACAUACCGAGGAAUACGAUGAGGAUUACUAGAAAGAACGUGCAAUAGAAAUGUCUUUGCAAGAUGAAAGACUUGAAACACAUAAGUUCACCAACACGUUUCCAACAUCGUUUGACGCUGUGCACUCCAAAUCGGUCGAUACCCAACCUCGUCUAGCAAAACAACCGCUCACAUCGAUCGACACCAAAGGAACAUCGAUUGAUAUUCGCGCCGCAGCGAAAAUUCAGGAGCAGGAGAAUAUUCCCUCCCCAACUAGGUUUAUAGAUACCUAUAUAAAUCGUUUUGCACCUCCGAAACCACCUACACACAUCAGAGCAAACACACAAGCAAACAAGAUGAACACUCUUCCUCCUACAUCAACAGAAAAAUCCAUGAAGAUCAAUCAUGUCAAGAACACAAGUUCUGCAGAAAUAAUUCUGCCAUCGAUCGAUGUAAGUGUAUCUACAUCGAUCGAUACUACUCUAAACCCUAAUCUCUCUAUUUCUAAAAUGAAUGAUUAUGCAAACAUUGAUUACGGUUUUCUACAACCUGAUGAAUUUGGUAUUUUUAGGGACCUAGAUGGCAACGCAUGUGCAAUGGAUGGGAGGAUUUUACAAGUGUCCAGAGAGGACAUAGCAGACAUCCUUCAAGUAGCCAAUGGACCUGACAACCUAUUCUCACAACAACGUGGCACUCCAGACGUCAUUAAAACAGAUCCUAACAACCACGCAGGAGUCGCCACAACAGAGAUCAACCCAGAUCUAUCACGCCUACAAAAAGGGCAAGCAUCGAUCGACGGUAGAAUGGAGAAAUCGAUCGACAGGGUAACACCAACGUCGAUCGAUAUAGAUGAAACGAUGGGAACCGCGCUUUCGACAUGUAUGGAGCCAGAAAGUUCACUUGGAACAAAGGGACGAGUAUGGAGUCUACAGAGAUGAGCGUGGACAUGAACGAGGCGCAGCUGGUGAGAUGAUACCUGUCACAAAGGACAACACCAGGAAAAUACUGGAAAGAGCAUCUCUUUUUGAAGAGAGCCACAUCUGUCUUCCAGAACAUCCCACUUCCUUCACACUCACAAGACUGGCACCAGAACUCUACACCAAAGAUGAAAUCGAUGAGAUGGUGUUUGGUAUUUGUGGAGCUCAGGAGAAACUGGGAGAGGAGCUCAAAACAUUGGUAGAAGACACACAUCAGCCUUUGGAUAGAGGCUACAAUGAGCUUUUUAGAUGUAUGGCAGAGAUGAGGACAAAAAUUGAGAGUUUACGUCAGCAACUUGAGAAGAAAGCUACGACCUCAGCAUCAAUCGACGCACCAUAUGCAACAUCGAUCGACGUCAGUCUUCCUACAGCUCAGAUCCCUGCAGAACCGCAAUGUUCAACACAACACAGGGAUGAAUGGGAAGUCUCAUACAUCAACACGAGGAUAAACGAAGUUUACUGCCCUCUCAACAACAACGUGGACUGGCUAAGCACUAAAAUCGAGCUACUACAGCAAGAUCUGGACACCAUUCGCAAGAAGGACUAACAACCAGCCACAUCGAUCGACAGGCGAAGAGGACCCUGGAUCGAUGGAAAGAAACCUGUGGAGUUACUUCCUUACACAGCAGCAGGGGUUGACAAGAUCACAUCCAAGAUCUACACUGCUCUAGACACCAUGGAGGAACGACUUGACAAACGCUGCGAUGACAUCUACUUUCCAUUCGACAACAAAAUCAGUGGACUAUACAACCACGCAGAAUGGCUACAGAAAGAAGUCAAAGCCAUUCAGAGGCAACUCGCAGCUGAACAUCAGAUAUCAGCAUCGAUCGACAGGACAAUAGCAAAAUCGAUCGACGGCAACUCGCCGAGAUCGACCAACAAACACAUAAUCGCAUCGAUCGACACCGAGUCUACACCAAUCGGCGAGCAGCUGAUACACAAGACGGUAGAGUCAAUGCAAAUGGAACUGACAGAUCUUUCAGCAUACGCCUAUGACAACAUAGGCUGGCACCAGGUCAGCAUUGACAACGUUCAAGAAAGGCUACAGAACAUCUCCAAUGUACUUGAGAAGAUGGAUGACAAAUGGACAAGAAAUGAUGAGGCCACAAGAAGUUUCAUUGCAUCUUGGUCCAGAAUGCGCAGAGAUGACGUGGAUGCUUGCUUUCCAACAAGCAGCUGCUUCUCCACCCAAUAGCCAAUCACUACUGUAACACCCCAAAACCAGCCCAUUUAAAAUUUUUCGAUCAAGAUGGCUUUGUGUAGCAUCUGUUCCACACUUCCAUACUCUUGAAGCUCCAUACAAUCUUGGAUGUCACGGUUGAGGCCUGAAAGAAAGCGAGCCAUAGUGGCGUCCAAAGGUUCAUCCGUGUCCGUUUUGGUCAUCAAGACUUCCAUCUCUUGGUAAUAGUCUUCCACAGAUUUGGUUCCUUGAAGCAAACGUCUUAGCUUCUGGUGGAGGUCGCGGUGAUAAUGGGCUGGCACGAAUCGUUUCCUCAUCAACAAGGUUAGCUCAUCCCAUGUCUCAAUCGGCCGUUCACCUGUUCUCCUCCUGUGGGUCAACACUUGAUCAUACCCGUUAAUAGCAUAGCCUGAGAAUUCAGUGGCAGCAAGCCUUACUUUUCUAAGUUCAGAAUAGUUUUGACAAUCAAAGACAUGCUCAAUUUUUCUUUCCCACUCAAGAAAAGCAUCAGGGUCGUUUUUACCAUCAAAAGGCGGAAUUUUUAAUUUCAAUCCGUUCAAGCUAUCAUCAGUACGAUUGUUUCUAGCAAAUGGAUUGACAUCACCUGGGUUUCGAGUUCUAUGACCUCUUCUUGGCAGGUAAGCGGAUCUGACCUCGUCCUCUUGGGCGUCCUCAUCAGGAAACUCAUCAUCUGACCGGGUGUUCCUUCUCGGUUGAUUGGUUCUUGUUCCCGAUCUAGGAUGGGACUGGCUUACUUGAAGUUCGUCAAGCCUUUGAUGGAUCUGCUCUAAACCUGUGUUUAUAAGGUUAGAAAAAGAAUCAAUUAAAGCUCGCAUCUGAAGAUUAGACAGUCCAGCAACUGAAUUUCCGGCACGGUUUUGAUCUUCGUGGCUACUCAUGGUUCCUGAAAUUUCUUAAACACAAAACGUUAGGAUAAAAACUCACACUCUCAAGUGUUUGUUCCUCACCCACACACGUGUUUCUCUCGAUUUAAAAGUGAUCACCCAAGUUUCCACUCAAAGUUCUAUGAAGAACAGAUCUCGGAAUCUGGAUGGCCAAACUUAAGCAAAACACAUGGGAAUUUUAAAAAAGAGAAAGAUAAGAGAUUUGUUUUUAAAAAGAAUCCGUUUUAACCUCCUCAAAGGCUGGAUUUCUCCUCAGCCAGCAGGCUUCCUCCUCCACCACCAAUCCACAAAGUAAACUCUUUUUUUUUUUAAAUACGGAUCUUGCUUGUUUCUUUGCUUUUUUUAUUUUUUAUAAGUGGAUGGUAAUGAGGGGCCCGGAUUCAAGAUAGACAGAUGAAGAAGUGUUUAGAAGAAAUGGAAGAUGAGAAGAUGGAUCGAGAUAGAGAAUACCAGACGAGUGGCUCUGAUACCACUUAAAGGACCCUAAGAUCGGAUUGCCCUCGACUGGAUUCGUUUAGGAUAUGAACUCCGGGAAGGAGAACUGGUGGAUCGUUGGGUCGCACAAGGGUUGCGGAUGUUCCCUUGAUAUUCCCGGCUUCAAUGACGCUUGAUAUGACUAACAAGUCCGCCAAGGAAGAUCUUGAACUGGUUGCUUGAUAUGACUCACAAGACCAACUAGUUGAGAAGUGAAUUGCUCGGAUAUGACUCACCAAGACAAUCGAAAACAAGUUUUAAAGAGAACAGAGAGUUUAAACUCAGAAACUUAAUCCAAAAUGAUCUGAUUUUAUUAAUGAGAAAGGACACUUAUUUAUAGUACAAGUAGAAGACAAAGAGACUACUUGACUAGAAGUUUGGAAGACAAAGAAAAUUAAAGACAAUUGACUAGAAUUUUGAGAGACAUAAGAAAAGACUCUUCAAUUUGCGGACUGGUCAAAGUGGCCCUUCAGCUGGCUUGUGUCUGACUGGCUGAACCACGGUAAGGAGCUGUACGGUCGCGGGCCGGUCCGUCUGUUCCGACUUGUCCGUCUCCUGAACCAUCUUCGACCACAAUCGUCCUAAGUCUUCUGAAAGAUGAAGAAUCUGUGCCUUAGAGAGAUUCGGAUGAUCAAAGUGCAUGAACUUAUCAAAUGGAUCGAUCAGUUCGUCAAUACGGUUGGUAUGUUCCAAACGAGCGAGAAGAGAGAAGUCGCGGCCAGUUCCUUGUCCUGCUCGGCCUAAGUUGCUUCUGGCUUGACCGUUAGUCUGAGAUUGGCGAGUUGUCCGGGAGAGAGACGAUCCGGUAGGGGCAAUUCAGUUGAUAGAUCGAGCAUCCAGUCUAAGCUCCUUUCCAUCCAUUCGUGGAUCGAUCCGGUACACAGCUUGGCUAUGCUGAUCGGUUCGGCUGGGAUGAUGAACCUCGGUUGGAAUGUCCUGAUCUUCCUGAUGGUCGGGUUCCUCGGACUGAGGCACAUCACAGGACGUCCGUGGCUGUCCAUCAGUACACAUAUCAGCACGUUGGUCCUUGGACUCAGCACGCUGGCCCUUCCUGUGGACUGUUUGGGUGAAUUUGGCCCACGUGGGCAGUCUGUUCAGUACAUACAGGACGUCCGUGGGUUUCCGCCAGAACACACAUGACGUCUGUGGCUGUCCGUGUGUGUCCGGGUGUAUCCGUCUGUGUCCGUCAGCACACAUAGGACGUCCGUGGCUGUCCAUCAGUACACAUAUCACCACGUUGGUCCUUGGACUAAGCACGCUGGCCCUUCCUGUGGACUGUUUGGGUGAUUUUGGCCCACGUGGGCUGUCUGUUCAGUCCAUGGGUGUCCGCCAGCACCCACAGGACGUCCAUGGAUGUCUGUGGCUUUCCAUCAGCACACACAAGACGUUUGUGGCUGUCCGUGUGUGUCCGUGUGUGUCCGUGUGUGUCCGUCAGCACACACAGGACGUCUGUGGGUGUCCGUCAGCACACACAGGACGUUUGUGUGUGUCCGUAAGCACAUACAGGACGUCUGUGGCUGUCUGUGUGUGUCCGUCAGCACACACAGGACGUCUGAGCUGUCCAUCAGUACACAUAUCAGCACGUUGGUCCUUGGACUAACCACGCUGGCCCUUCCCGUGGACUGUUUGGGUAAUUUUGGCCCACGUGGGCGGUUUGUUCAGUACACACAGGACGUCUGUGGGUGUCUACCAGCACACAUAGGACGUCCUUGGCUGUCUGUGGCUAUCCGUCAGCACACACAGGAUGUAUGUGGCUGUCCGUGUGUAUCCUUGUGUGUCUGUGUGUGUCCGUCAACACGCAGAAGAUGUCCAUGGCUGUCCAUCAGUACACAUAUCACCACGCGGGUCCUUGGACUCAGCACGCUGGCCCUUCCCGUGGACUGUUCGGGUGAUUUUUGUCCACGUGGGCUGUCUGUUCAGUACACAAAGGACGUCCGUGGGUGUCCGUCAGCACACACAGGACGUCCGUGGCUGACUGUCAGCACACAUAGGACUUCAGUGGCUGUUGGUGUGUAUCCGUGUGUGUCCGUCAGCACACACAGGACAUCUGUGGCUGUCCAUCAGUACACAUAUCAGCACGCUGGGUCUUGGACUCAGCACGCUGGCCCUUCCCGUGGACUGUUCGAGUGAUUUUUGCCCACGUGGGCUGUCUGUUCAGUACACACAGGACGUCUGUGGGUGUCCGUCAGCACACACAGGACGUCCGUGGCUGUCCGUGUGUGUCCGUCAACACACACAGGACGUCCGUGGCUGUCCAUCAGUACACAUAUCAGCACGUUGGUCCUUGGACUCAGCACGCUGGCCCUCCCUGUGGACUGCUUGGGUGAAUUUGGCCCACGUGGGCUGUCUGUUCAGUACAUACAGGACGUCCGGGUGUGUCCGCAAGCACACACAUGACGUCUGGGGCUGUCCGUGUGUGUCCGUGUGUAUCCGUCUGUGUCCGUCAACACACACAGGACGUCUGUGGCUGUCCAUCAGUACACAUAUCACCACGUUGGUCCUUCGACUAAGCACGCUGGCCCUUCCCGUGGACUGUUGGGGUGAUUUUGGCCCACGUGGGCCGUCUGUUCAGUAUACACAGGACGUCCAUAGGUGUCCGCCAGCACCCACAGGACGUCCGUGGCUGUCUGUGGCUGUCUGUCAGCACACACAAGACGUCUGUGGCUGUCCGUGUGUGUUUGUGUGUGUCCGUGUGUGCCGUCAGCACACACAGGAUGUCCGUGGUUGUCCAUCAGUACACAUAUCAGCACGCUGGUUCUUGGGCUCAGCACGCUGGCCCUUCCCGUGGACUGUUCGGGUGAUUUUUGCCCACGUGGGCUGUUUGUUCAAUACACACAGGACGUCCGUGGGUGUCUGCCCGCACCCAUAGGACGUCUGUGGCUGUCCGUCAGCACACACAAGACGUAUGUGGCUGUCCGUGUGUGUCCGUGUGUGUCUGUGUGUGUCCGUCAGCAUACACAGGACGUCCGUGGGUGUCCGUCAGCACACACAGGACGUCCGUGUGUGUCCGUCAGCACACACAGGACGUAUGUGGCUGUUCGUGUGUGUCCGUCAGCACACACAGGGCGUUCGUGGCUGUCCAUCAGUACACAUAUCAGCACGCUGGCCCUCCCCGUGGACUGUUUGGGUGAUUUUGGCCCACGUGGGCUGUCUAUUCAGUACACACAGGACGUCCGUGGGUGUCCGUCAGCACACACAGAAUGUCUGUGGGUGUCCGUCAGCACUCAAAGGACGUCUCUGGGUGUCCGUCAGCACACACAGGACGUCCGUGGGUGUCCGUCAGCACACACAAGACGUCUGUGGCUGUCCAUCAGUACACAUAUCAGCACGUUGGUCCUUGGACUCAGUACGCUGACCCUUCCCGUGGACUGUUCGGGUGAUUUUGGCCCACGUGGGCUGUUUGUUCAAUACACACAGGACGUCCGUGGGUGUCUGCCCGCACCCAUAGGACGUCUGUGGCUGUCCGUCAGCACACACAAGACGUAUGUGGCUGUCCGUGUGUGUCCGUGUGUGUCUGUGUGUGUCCGUCAGCAUACACAGGACGUCCGUGGGUGUCCGUCAGCACACACAGGACGUCCGUGUGUGUCCGUCAGCACACACAGGACGUAUGUGGCUGUUCGUGUGUGUCCGUCAGCACACACAGGGCGUUCGUGGCUGUCCAUCAGUACACAUAUCAGCACGCUGGCCCUCCCCGUGGACUGUUUGGGUGAUUUUGGCCCACGUGGGCUGUCUAUUCAGUACACACAGGACGUCCGUGGGUGUCCGUCAGCACACACAGAAUGUCUGUGGGUGUCCGUCAGCACUCAAAGGACGUCUCUGGGUGUCCGUCAGCACACACAGGACGUCCGUGGGUGUCCGUCAGCACACACAGGACGUCCGUGGCUGUCCGUGCGUGUCCGUCAGCACACACAAGACGUCUGUGGCUGUCCAUCAGUACACAUAUCAGCACGUUGGUCCUUGGACUCAGUACGCUGACCCUUCCCGUGGACUGUUCGGGUGAUUUUGGCCCACGUGGGCUGUCUGUUCAGUACGCACAGGAUGUCUGUGUGUGUCCGUCAGCACACACAGGACGUUCGUGGCUGUCCGUGUGUGUUCGUGUGUGUCCGUCAGCACACACAGGACGUCUAUCGCUGUCCAUAAGUACACAUAUCAGCACGUUGGUCCUUGGACUCAGCACGCUGACUCUUCCCGUGGACUGAUUUUGGCCCACGUGGGCUGUCUGUUCAGGACACAUAGGAAGUCUGUGGGUGUCCGCCAGCACACACAGGACGUCCGUGGCUGUCCGUGUGUGUCCGUUGGUGUCCGUCAGCACACACAAGACGUAUGUGGCUGUCCAUCGGUACACAUAUCAGCACGUUGGUCCUUGAACUCAGCACGCUGGUCCUUGAACUCAGCACGCUGGCCCUUCCCUUGGACUGUUUGGGUGAUUUUGGCCCACCCGGGCUGUCUAUUCAGUACACACAGGACGUCUGUGGGUGUCCGCCAGCACACACAGGACGUCCGUGGCUGUCUGUGGCUGUCCGUCAGCACACACAGGACAUUCGUGGCUGUCCGUGUGUGUCCGUCAGAACACACAGGACCUCUGUGGCUGUCCAUCAGUAAACAUAUCAGCACGUUGGGCCUUAAACUCAGCACGCUGGCCCUUCCCGUGGACUGUUUGGGUGAUUUUGGCCCACGUGGGCAGUCUGUUCAGUACACACAUGACGUCCGUGGGUGUCCGUCAGCACACACAGGAUGUCCGUGGGUGUCCGUCAGAGCACAAAGGACAUCUGUGGGUGUCCGUCCGCACACACAUGAUGUCCGUGAGUGUCCGUCAGCACACACAGGACGUCCGUGGGUGUCCGUCAGCACACACAGGACGUCUGUGGCUCUCCGUGUGUGUCUGUGUGUGUCCGUCAGCACACACAUGACGUCUGUGGCUGUCCAUAAGUACACAUAUCAGCACGUUGGUUCUUGGACUCAGUACGCCGACCCUUCCUGUGGACUGUUGGGGUGAUUUUGGCCCACGUGGGCUGUCUGUUCAGUACGCACAGGACGUCCAUUGGUGUCCGUCAGCACACACAGGACGUCCGUGGGUGUCCGUCAGCACACAAAGGACGUCCGUGGGUGUCUGUCAGCACACACAGGACGUCUGUGGGUGUCCGUCAGCACACACAGGACGUCUGUGGCUGUCCGUGUGUGUCCGUGUGUGUCCGUGAGCACACACAGGACGUCUGUGGCUGUCCAUCAGUACACAUAUCAGCACGUUGGUCCUUGGACUCAGUACGCUGACCCUUCCCGUGGACUGUUCGGGUGAUUUUGGCCCACGUGGGCUAUCUGUUCAGUACGCACAGGAUGUCCGUGGGUGUCCGUCAGCACACACAGGACGUCCGUGUGUGUCCGUCAACACACACAGGACGUCCGUGGCUGUCCGUGUGUAUUCGUGUGUGUCCGUCAGCACACACAGGACGUCCGUGGCUGUCCAUCAGUACACAUAUCAGCAUGUUGGUCGUUGGACUCAGCACGCUGACUCUUCCCGUGGACUGGUUUUAGCCCAUGUGGGCUGUCUGUUCAGUACACAUAGGAAGUCUGUGGGUGUCCGCCAGCACACACAGGACGUCCGUGGCUGUCCGUGUGUGUCUGUGUGUGUCCGCGUGUGCUGAAAAUACCAAAUUAAUCAGGUGUUAGAAAACCGUAAUCAAUGUUUGCAUUAUCAUUUAAUUUAGAAAUAGAAAGAUUAGGGUUUAGAGUAGUAUCGAUCGAUGUAGAUACAGUUGCAUCGAUCGAUGGCAGAGUAAUUUCUGCAGAACUUGUGUUCUUGAGAUGAUUGCUCUUCAUGGAUUUUUCUGUUGAUGUAGAAGGAAGAGUGUUCAUCUGUUUUGCUUGUGUGUCUGCUCUAAUAUGUGUAGGUGGUUUCGGGGGUGCAAAAUGAUUUAUAUAGGUAUCUUUAAACCUAGUUGGGGAGGGAAUAUUCUCCUGCUCCUGAAUUUUCGCUGCGGCGCGAAUAUCGAUCGAUGUUCCAGUACGUGUGUCGAUCGAUGUGAGCAGUUGUUUUGCUGGACGAGGGUGGGUAUCGACCGAUGUGGAGUGCACAGCAUCGAACGAUGUUGGAAACGUGUUGGUGAACUUAUGUGUUUCAAGUCUUUCAUCCUGCGAACACAUUUCUAUUGCACGUUCUUUCCAAUAAUCCUCAUCGUGUUCCUCUGUAUGUCCCUCAUUAGGUGAAGUAAUUACUGUGUCAACUGCAAAACUUUCAUGGAAACCACUGUCUGCCCAACUGCCUAUGGAAUAAUCAUCAUGUCCUCUCUUGCUUGGAGGUUGGAAGGCAUAGUGUUGGUAACAAUGAUUAGGUGAACCUUCACCCUUCAGAUUCUUGUUCUUCUUGAACUGAUUCAGGUGAACUAUUUAAAGGGUUGGGUUUUGGUUCGGGUGGGUUAGCUAAUAGGUUAGGUGGUGGUCUAAGUGUGUUGAUGUAAUCAUUAUCUAUUGAGGGUAACCGCACUCGGUAUGUCAGAGGUGCCUGUCGAUCGAUGGGAGGUGUGUUGUGACGAUCGACGUCGGACUCACUCUGUCGAUCGAUGGUUGGCUCAACCGAUCGAUUGAUUUUAUCAUAGAAAGGGGAGGGUGGGUGAGGAUGCUUAGCUGUGAAUUCUUCAUGAGUUAGAAUUCGAACCGCAUUGCAUUCAGUCGAUUUGGCAGACAACGUCGAUCGAUGACUGGAGUAAUCCGUCGAUCGAUCUUCAUCAUGGUCUAUCGAUCGAUGCGAGUUCAUCGACAUCGGUCGACACCAUUGGGAUCCGCCGAGACUUAUGGAGCUUUCUAUUUUGAAGUCUCCUUCCUCAAGCUUUUCAUUUUUCACCACUUGCCAGAAAUCAUCAUCUAUGAUGGCAUAUACGUGGUGUUUCCCUUUGUCGGCUCCUGCCUCUCUAGCGAAAACUUCUUGCCUCUUUAUAGUCUCGCCUGUCUGAAUUACUUGGGUUUCAAGUUUUCUCACCUGAGUCCCUAAGGUCUCGAUUUUGGUGUUCAGAUUGUUGUAGGCGGAGUCUAUUUUACCGUUGAAAUCCACGGUGAUUUGUUGUUGUCCCAACAGUACUCGAUCAAGCAGUUCUUUGAUCUUGCUUUCCUGAGUCUGGGGUGGUGGAUCUUGGUAGUAAGAGUUCGAGUAGCUUUUGUUGUUGUUGAAGGGUUUUUGAAAUUGUGAACUUUGGUUACUUAUUUGGCCAUUUCCAAAGAAGUUUAUGUUUCCGCCCUGGUUUCCAUCUGUUCCUUCCCGAUAGAGGCUACAGACUUCUUCCGUUCAGAGUCAGUGUUUUUGGUGCUGCUGCUGUUAGCAAGAUAAGUCUCACAGCUUCUAACGGAUUCCAAGUAGUGAAGUUUCCUUCACUCGCCGUAUCAAGGGCCAUUUGAUGCUGUAAGGCGAGACCUCGGAAGAAAGUGCUUAGCAGCUGCACUUCGUUAAAUCCGUGGUGUGGACAGUCUCGCUGGAAGAACCUAAAUUUAAUCCACGCAUCUUUGAAGGACUCUCCAGCCUUCUGCGAGAAUGUGGAAAUUUUGUUCCGAAGUUCUUCAGCGCGCGCCUCAUCGAAGAAGUUUCGUAAUAAAGCAUUCUUGAUGUCGCUCCAGGAUGUUGAAGAUCCUGUGGGUUGCUGCCUAAGCCAGUGCAUCGCUUCUCCAUUCAGCGUGUAUCUGAAGAGCUUGCACAGCAGGUAAUCUUCGGGGACUCCUUCCCUCCGAAUAGCAGCGAUUAGAUCCUUGAACCGUUCCAAAUGGUCCAUAGGAUGCUCGUGCGGUAACCCAGAGUAGGGUAUCUGCGACACGAGAGUGUAGUAUUGAGGCUUCAGCUCGAAAUUCUGCUUUUGGAUCUCCAGAAGUCGAAUAGCUGAUCUGUUGGAAUAGUACUCAUCUAUGCGAUUGUAGUCGGCCAGUGGUUUCGAUUGAGCGUCCUCGUCUACAGGUUGAGCAGCUCCUGUAGUAUCAGCAUCAGGGAUUACAGUUCACUGAGCAUCUAUUUUCUGACCUGUUUCAUUACGCAGAUGACCGGCCUGGUCAUACAGGUUUCCGUUCUCGUCCUGAGUUAGAAUAAUAAUGUUUACCAUUUUUGACGACACGGUAUCGAUCGACGUACGCGGUGUAGUAUCGAUCGUUGUCGAACGAUUGAGAUCGAUCGACGAUGAUGGUCUGGUGUCGGUCAACGGUUGGUUGUGCGUAUCGAUCGACGACGAAGUUGUUGCGUCGAGCGAUGUGGAACGUUGACCUCUAUGGAUGGUGCGUUCCAAAUGAGCAGGAUCGUCUGAGAACAGCAAGUCUUUCUCCUUGUUGCUUCUGGUACCGCUGGGCAUGCACCUGAAAAGACAAGAAGAAGAUAAUUAGAAAGGGGGUAGAGAAAAGAAUAAGAAUCAAUAAAACUAAAUCUAAUGGAGAUUAAAGCUCCCCGGUAACGGCGCCAAAUUUGAUACCACUCAAAUUACCCUAAGGAGUGUUACUCUCAUCAAAAGAGGUUCAGAUGUAGUACUUAGGGAUCGAAUCCACAAGGAGCUAGGGAACAAUUUAAUCUAGUGUUUAUUAAUUAUAAAGGUUGUAAAUGUUUAAAUGAAAUAGCAAUAGUAACAAGCGAGUAAAUAAUAAAUGUAACUUGGUUGGAAAUGAUAUUAGAUGCAGGGCCACUAUUCAGGUGUUGGAGAUUAUAAUACCUAUAGAUGCCUAACUGUUGCAUGCAUGAUAUAUUAGAGCUCAUUCGCUUAACUCAGUGAUCAGCUGUCGCAUGUACCACUGGUUAACAGACUAGAUCUCGUGUCUCAACGGUUAGUAUGCAGACAACGAGAGAGUGUCGAUCGAUGGUCUAUUAAGACGUUGACCGAUACACCUUUGACAACGUCGAUCGAUAGUCAGUUGAGGACAUCGAUCGAUGGGUUCUAGCCAGGCCUAUGCGCGAGUAUGAAAUGCCCUACUAAGAUGCUAAAUUGGCGGUUAGCCCUCUCUAGCAGUCCUAAUAUGAUAGAUAGAUGUCAGGAUGGGAUAACAAGGGUGCUUGAGUAUGCAAUCCUAUGAUCAAGUUCUAGUUAGCAAGACUAAAACAAGCAAUGAAUACAAACUCGUAUUGGGCUAAUCCCACAAACCUAUCUGAACCCUGGAUCUAACAGUUGAACUACUCAGACAUAGCAAAGGUCUAGAAAAAGCUCUCUUGCCGUCAAAACACUUAGGCAGUAUAUAUUCUACUAGGUUAAAAACUCGUCAGGGCAUUUUGGUAAUUUGGCUUGGCCGUAGUUUUUAAGUCUGCUGAAUCCAAAAUGUCGCGUCUGGUGUCUCUACAUCGAUCGAUGGUACUUGUGUACAUCGAUCUAUAUUAAUCUUCAUCUGUCGAGGCAAUUCCUGAUAUCGAUCGUUAGCACUGAUGCACAUCGAUCGAUUGUUCUUCCUCUCGUCAACCUCUAAGUGGUCAGCUCAGGUGAAAUGUCCUUUAAGCUCCAAAAUGCUCCAAAAUCAUAGCUUUACUCCGAAAUGAACCUGAACCUGAAAACAUACCUAGCAGAGUAGAAAACAUAGAUAUAUAUAUAUAGUAAAAUACUUAUAUACCAUGGAUAAAAAUGGGUCAAAUCCAAGGUAUAUCAGACACGAUGGACUUCCUGUGUGUACUGAACAGACAGUCCACGUGGGCUAAAGUCACCCGAACAGUCCACGGGAAGGGCCAGCGUGCUGAGUCCAAGGACCAGCGUGCUGAUAUGUGUACUGAUAGACAGCCACAGACGUCAUGUGUGUGCUGACGGACACACACGGACCCACAUGGACAGCCACGAGCUCAGCCAAGCUCGGUCGCUACGUAGCGACCGAGCGAUCGUCCCGCUCGGUCGCUACGUAGCGACCGAGCUCGAGCCAAAGCUCGGUCACUGCGUAGCGACCGAGCGAUCGUCCCGCUCGGUCGCUACGUAGCGUCCCGCUCGGUCGCUACGUAGCGACCGAGCACUCGUCUCACUCGGUCGCUACGUAGCGACCGGGCUCGAGCCAAAGUUCGGUCGCUGUGUAGCGAUUGAACCUUUCCGAAAAUCGAUACGACACCAGUCCAUGCAUUCUCAUCAAACCUUCGAAUGCUAUCUCCCGAAGACCAUGGCAAGCUCAGUCCAUGUUUCCCGCUAUUCUAAUUCAUCGAUCAAACUUCGCGGAUUAGAAACCGCGGAAAACUUGUAGUAAACGUGUCGAGUCGGAAUACGGCCCAAAGGGACCUAAAACACGAUUUGAAGCCCAUCCUACGAUUUUCCUAACCAAAAGCCCGUAAACCACAGCAUGGUUUACGCUUGGCCCACAAGGACGGAUAAAUGUCAAGUUUCCGCGGAUAAAUACGGAAGUUUUGAAGAUAAUUGUGAAGAUCGGGAAAAAUGGAAUAUCUCCAUUUUUAUGCUAUGACGGCUUAAGGGCAGAAGAGUAAAAGCGUAAACCAACCUUGGAGCUAGUAUAUAAGGAGUCCCAGGCGAGGAGCAGAGGAGAGAACUUUUUCAGAGAAAACUUAGCACUUAGAGCAAUUUAGGCAAUUUUCCGGUUUUGUUAUUUCGAGCUGCGACUCAAUUAGGUUUAGCCGUCUUAGGGUUGCUAGAACUAGGAAUCUCGCCGACAGCUCUCGAGCCCAGGCUUAUACCUUGUUGUAACGCUCAUACCCAGAUUCGGAAUAAGAUCUACUUUGCUCUCUUUUCGAUUUCUUCUUUUUAUCGUUGUUAUUCUCGUGUUCUGAUUGCUUGACGUGUGGUAAUUAACAGAUAUCCGGGUCCUCUGGGAAACUAGGGUUUUCUUAGUUUCCUUAUUUAAACGGAAACGACAGUGUGAAUUUCGGUUCCCACACUUGUGUGUGCUGACGGACACCCACGGACGUCCUGUGUGUGCUGACGGACACCCACGGACGUCCUGUAAGUACUGAACAGACAGCCCAUGUGGACAAAAAUCACCCGAACAGUCCACGGGAAGGGCCAGCGUGCUGACUCAAAGGGCCAGCUUGCUGAUAUGUGUACUGAUGGACAGCCACGGACAUCCUGUGUGUGCUGACGGACACACACGGACACACACGGAUACCCACGGACAGCCACAGACGUCCUUUGUGUGCUGACGGACAGCCACGAAUGUAACACCCCCGAACCGUCCUAAGCAUAGGUCGACCCACCGGCCAACAAUCAAACAAGAACAUGACCGACGGACGACCCACACCAAGGGUUGGAGAUGAAAGGCCAACCGGCCAGCCAACAAUCAAACACGAACAUGACUGACCGUCCAACCCAACACCAUGGUCCGGAAGCGCUAUGUGACGGGCUAAGGACAAUCCGGUCAGAGUCACAAACUUUACUCCACGACCUAGACCAGUUCAUCCACUAACUCGUCCCGCUGCGUCAAGGCAUAAGGCUUUGCAACCCAUACCUAGAGUUAGCGUUUUCCGUUAGAUCAAGGCCUAAGGCUUUUCAACCCGUACCUCGACCUAACGUUGUGUUAGACCGGACUAGUCAAAUAUUAGAGUACUCAUGAAGCGCAUAUAAAACAAUUACUUUUAUUGAUUCAAGAAAUAUUCAUACAUUGAAUAAUUCAAGACUGGGCCCGGCCUAAUGCCAAAUCGAGUCAACAUAACACAAUUCACAAUACCGUUUACAAAAGGCAUGAAAAUCUACACCGGCGGUCCUAACGUCCAGUACCAAGCUAUCCGAUCAUCCUUACUUAAAGCGACCUGCAAAAAGGACAACGGAGUUGGAUGAGUAAUCUAGUAUUACUCAGUGAGCUGGCGGCCUCUACCCGCAACCUAGACUCUACCCAGAAACCCAAAAAUAACAAUCAAUCUAGCCCUAGCAUGCAAUAAAAGCAAAGGCUAAGCAAACCGUUACUAAGUUAGACUUGGCCUCCUGCCAUGAUAUAGCUUCAAGUAACGGGAACCUGCAUUAAAACAAGUCAACAAACAAUCCCUAGUUAACCAUAUAUACGCCUGAGUUCAAUACUCAUGUAGUGUUAGACACUUAGACUAUGCAAGUAUCAUUAAUCGAUCGACCAACAAUCAAACAAGAACAUGAUCGGCCAACCAAUGAUACCGCAUAGCUUUAAUAUCCACCACCCUUCACAAGCAAUCACUCAAACACAUACAGGCCAACGUCAGGCCUACACUAACAAAAUACACAUCAAGCCUAAUCCGGUACCUAAGCCAGACUUAGGACUUAAUGUCUGAAACCUGCAAGCAAAUCAAUCAACCACAAACACAAUAAUAACUAUGAGUAUCAUGACUCGAUCUAACUAGUAACACCGUAUAUCGGUGCUACACUGACUCGAGGGUUCCAUAACCCUCUACGACACUCUAACACAACACAACACACUACCCCGGGAAAUGGUGACUUAGUGUUCAUCCUCUCUAUCGGCAAUAUCCUAUCUUCCUACCACAAAGGCCAGAAGAAGGAACUUUCAACCGACCGCGGCCCACAGUCCUUCGGGUCACCGCGCGACAGCCCACAGUCCUUCGGGUCACUGCCACAUUACACCGUCGUGUAAUCACUCAGCCACAGGCCAUGAUCCCGUCUCUCUGACUCUUCCCGAUCCAGCGAAUAAGGGGUUUCCUUAAACCCGCUGGGUACGAGGCUGAGGAAAAACUAAUCACCCCUAAACAAGCCUAGUAUGGACGAGUUAUGCUCAUACUGUCGGCACACUCACAUAACACAAACUCAAUCUAGAACCUAACGUAAUGAUAAAGUUCUAGACACUAACCAGACACUCGACUCUACAACACAAACCAAUAGUACCAGUAGUCCGGCCUAUAUGGCCUAAGACCCUGAGUACUAAUAACUAAACAAUAAUAUUGAUACUAAACAACUCAAUCAAACCGUUACCCAGAUAGUCCAGCUUCCCGCUGAGAAACUAUCUUUAAAGAUAACGGGAACCUGCACUCAACCAUAUCAACACGCAAGAAUAGAAAACAUGAUGCAUCCUAUUCUUAGUCCUAAUCAGGUUAUCAACUCAGUCUCAAUUCCAUUCAUCUCAUCUUAGCCCUUGCUAAACUGAGUCCGGUUCCAUGAAUAAAAUAACCCUAAGGACUCUACCAUUCAAUAGUGUGAUCAUUCUACUCUAUAUGCGACUCGAUCUAUCCUAAAUUCCAAGUGGAAUUCAAACAAACCAACUCACAGUGUUCUUGCAGCUGGUUGAUCGGAGAGAGCCUAGCCAAAACCCAAUGCCUCUGUCUUCAAUGGACUGGUAUGGACGAAUCAGGACUUGGACAGAACCUCCUCGGACUUCUGGAUCUUCUUCUCGGACUUUCGGUAGAACAAUGGCUCUUAAAAAUGCUCUAACUUCUUCAAAUUAGCUCCAAAUCCUUCACUUCCUUUUUCUACUUCACUUUCUCUCUCUAGCCCAAGUUUUAGAGUGAUGUUUGAGUGUGUGGAAUGAAUGAAACGAGCUGGGGGAGCUGGGUUUAUAUAGAUAUGGCCAACCAUUGAAAUGGUGCCACUCCAUCGCCUGUGUGUCGUCCCGCAUGCUUCCGGUCGCAUGCGCGGCGACACACGGGCGUCCAACUGUCACCAAGCAUGACUCCUCUGCAUGCCAGAAGCCAGCACCACGUCCAGAUGUCAUUCAGCAUGGCUGGAGCUCAGGCAUCGCGACACACGGGCCUCUGGGUGUCAAGACGAUGCCAUGUCGUGCUUUGGGUGUCAUGCUGCAUGUGAGGCUUCAUCCUGCGGAGACAUGUCGUGCUACGGAGAGACUAACAUGCUUGGAUGAAGGAAAGCACGUCCUGAUCCCUCAGAUAGGGCCACCUCGAGCUUCCCGGUUGAUUUGUGCGAUUUUGGUCUUUCUGGUGAAUUUUCGUCCCGUGAUCAAUCCCGAAUAUUUUUCCGCUCCCGUUCUGAUUCUCUAAAUAUUUUUAAUAAACUCCAGAUGAAUAAUGAGAUCCUCUAAAAAUAUGUCCCGAGCCUCCGGCUUCUUCCAAUAAUUUCGAAAAACCGAAAUUAGGGUUUUCGACCAACUUCUGGUUUUCCCGUCGUGCUUGCUUCCCGUCCUACUUACUCCCGUCAUGCUUCCAAAUUAUAAUAUCUCUGAAAUAAUAUUCUGAUGAUAGAUGUGAAGUUUCGCGAAAAACUUAGUGGCUAAGAAACGUCGGGUUUCUGAAACGUCGAGCUUCUAAACCGUCGUGCUUCCAAAAAUGUGAUUCUUCCAAAAUCUUCGUCUGAUCAAUCUAAGACUCUUCUAAGAAAGGUAGAGCAGCUUAAUAUGUCUCAUGGUUCAUUCACGAUCCAUUCUUCGACCACAUCCUACUUCGAACAUCUCGGUUGGCCCGUACCGCCCGCGGUUCAAUCAUCAAGUUGAUGCUCGACCAAUCUUCUGUCUUCUCCGAAUCAUGUUAAGUUUUGUGUGAUCAAAACUCAACAUUACUCCAAAUAUGUAAUCUCCCAAAAGCUUGGCUACAGAUUCUGACUUUCCCUUGCUCGACCAUUUUAUCCCGAAGGGGGGUUAUCACAACGGACGUCCUGUGUGUGCUGGCGGACACCCACGGACAUCCUCUGUGUACUGAACAGACAGCCCACGUGGGCCAAAAUCACCCAUAUAGCCCACGGGAAGGGCCAGCGUGCUGUGUCCAAGGACCAACGUGCUGAUAUGUGUACUAAUGGACAGCCACGGACGUCCUGUGUGUGCUGACGGACACACAUGGACAGUCACGGACGUCCUGUAUGUGCUGACGGACACACACAGAUGUCUUGUGUGUGCUGAUGGACACCCACGGAUGUCAUGUGUGUGCUGACGGACACACACGGACACACACGGACAAACACGGACAGCCACAAACGUCUUGUGUGUGCUGACGGACAGCCACAGACAGCCAUGAACGUCCUGUAUGUGCUGGCAGACACCCACGGACGUCCUGUGUGUACUGAACAGACAGGCCACGUGAAAAAAAAUCACCCAAACAGUCCACGGGAAGGGCCAGCGUCCUUAGUCCAAGGACCAACGUGGUGACAUGUGUACUGAUGGACAGCCACGGACGUCCUGUGUGUGCUGACGGACACAGACGGAUACACACGGACACACACGGACAGCCACGGACGUCCUGUGUGUGCUGGCGGACACCCACGGACGUCCUGUAUGUACUGAACAGACAGCCCACGUGGGCCAAAUUCACCCAAACUGUCCACGGGAAGGGCCAGCGUGCUGAUAUGUGUACUGAUGGACAGCCACGGACGUCCUGUGUGUGUUGACGGACACAGACGGACACACACGGACAGCCACGGACGUCCUGUGUGUGCUGACGGACAGCCACUGACGUCCUGUGUGUGCUGAUGAACACCCACAGAUGUCCUGUGUGUACUGAACAGACAGCCCACGUGGGCCAAAAUCACCCAAACAGUCCAAGGGAAGAGUCAGCGUGCUGAGUCCAAGGACCAACGUACUGAUAUGUGUACUGAUGGACAGCAACAGACGUCCUGUGUGUGCUGACGGACAUUAACGGACACACACGAACAGCCACGGACGUCCUGUGUGUGCUGGCGGACACCCACAGACGUCCUCUGUGUACUGAUCAGACAGCCCACGUGGGCCAAAAUCACCCGAACAGUCCACGGGAUGAGUCAGCGUGCUGAGUCCAAGGACCAACGUGCUGAUAUGUGUACUGAUGGACAGCCACAGACGUCAUGUGUGUGCUGACGGAGACACACGAACACACACGGACAGCCACAGAUGUCCUGUGUGUGCUGACGGACACACACGGACGUCCUGUGUGUGCUGACGGACACCCAUGGACGUCUUGUGCGUACUGAACAGACAGCCCACGUGGGCCAAAAUCACCCGAACAGUCCACGGGAUACUGAGUCCAAGGACCAACGAGCUGAUAUGUGUACUGAUGGACACCCACAGACGUCAUGUGUGUGCUGACGGACACACACAGACACACACAGACAGCCAGGGACGUCCUGUGUGUGCUGACGGACACCCACGGACGUCCUGUGUGAUAACCCGCACUUUGGGAUAAAAUGGUCGAAAGAGCAAAAGUCAGAAUCCAGAGCCGAGCUUUUGGGAAUCAAAGCAAUUGAAGGAAUGUUAAGUUUUGAUCACUUAAGACUUAACAUGGAUCGAAGAAAAUAGAAGAUUGGUCGAGCAUCAACUUUGUGGUUGAGUCGCGGGCAAUACAGAUCCAUCAGGAAAUUUGAAGUACGAGAAGGUCGAAGAAUGGAUCGUGAGUGAAGCAUGAGUUGAGAUAAGCUGCUCUACCAUUGUUAGAAAUGUCUUAGAUUGAUCAGACGGCAGUUUUGGAAGAAUCACAUUUUUGAAGCACGACGGUUUAGAAGCUCGACGUUUUUGAAGAUUGACGUUUCUUCAUCGCGAAGUUUUCUCGGAAUAUCUUCGUAUCAGUAAAAUAUUAUUCUGAAGACAUUAUAAGUCGGAAGCAGGACGGGAAUUAAGCAGGACGGGAAGCAAGCACGACGGGAUUGAAGCACAACGGGAAAACCCGAAGUUGGGCGAAAACCCUAAUUUUGGUAUUAUCGAUUUUUCGAGGAAGCCGGAGGCUCGGGAAAUAUUUUCCAUCAAGGUCAGGAUUCAUUUGGAGUUUAUUAAAAAUAUUCAUCUCAUCAGAACGGGCGUAGAAAAAUAUUCGGGAUUGAUCGCGGGACGAAAAUUCACCGGAAGUGUCGAAAUCAGUCGAAUGGACCGAGAAGCUCGAGCUGGCCUUAUCUAUGAGAUAAGGACGUGAUGUAACCUGCCUGGCAUGGUGUGUGGCAAGGGAAGCAGGAGGUGUUGAAGCCCAGGAGAGCACAGCAUGCUGAUUGACACCCAGAAGCACGAGGUGCCGCGAAACCUGCGAUCGGAGCAUGCUGAGCGACAUGUGUGCGCUGAGUGUCAAUCUGGAUGAGGUCAGGCCGUGGAUCAGACAUCUGUAGGGCAUGGUGUCACUCUGCAUGAUGUCCUGGUCAUGCCAUCAGACAUGUGGAGCACGAGGUGCCGCGACGCAUGCGUCCGGAGCCAUGCGAAGCGACACACGGGCUGCCAGACGGCUUGUUUCUGAUUGGUUGCUGCAUCCUAUAUAAACCCCACGACCCCAGCUCAUUUCAAACCAUCCAGCACACCUGAAACUCAGAGAAAAACGUGAGAGAGAAAGCUAGAGAAAGAAAGUUCGAGUUUCGAUCGUUUUCGAGUCUUUUCGGCAGUUUUCGAGAACAGUUAUUCUACUGAUUUCAAGUCAGCGCCUAGGGGAGGUUCUGGCCAACUGAAGAUCAACCAAUUGAAUAUCAAUUCAGAUGGGAAGCAAGUCAACGUGGUUAGAGAGAGAGAGAAAGAGAGUGUAGCUGAGUUCCGAAGAUCGAUACUUCACCAUGAAGCGAUGUUCUGUCCAAUCGAAGAAUUUCUGCAAUUGUUAUGCGGAAGCUCUGCCCAAGUCAAUCUGUCCACUCUACUCAUAUUCUUUGAUGAUCAAGUGGAGGUGCUGUCCAAGAUCAGUUCAGUUCCAUGGUUUCAGUUCAGUUGAGGUUAUGGUUCGAUACUCUGUUCAGAUUUCGGAAGAAUUGUUCAGAAGCUAAGGAAGGUGCUGUUCGAGUUGAGUUCAGUCCAGACCAGUAUCAGGGGAGGUUCUUUACAAGUCAAGAUAAGUCCAGUCCAUUCCAGUCAAGGCGUCCCUUGGGUUUUGGCCAAGUCCUCUCCGAUCAACCAGCAGCUUCUCGCCUAGAACACUGUGAGUUGGUUUUGUUUGAAUUCCACUGGGAAUUUAGGGUAGAUCGAGUCGCAUAUAGAGUAGAAUGAUCACGUUAUUGAAUGGUAGAGUCCUUAGGGUUAUUUUAUUUAUGUAACCGGACUCAGUUUAGCAAGGGCUAAGCUGAGAUGAAUGGAAUUAAGACUGAGUUAAUAACCUGACUAAGACUAGGGCUAGGAUGCAUCAUGUUUUCUAUUCUUGCGUGUUGAUAUGGUUGAGUGCAGGUUCCCGUUAUCUUUAAGGAUAGUUUCAUAGCAGGAGGCUGGACAAUCUGGAUAACGGUUUGAUUUAAUUGAUUAGUAUUGAUUAUUAUUGCUUAGUCGUUUAGUAGUUAGUACUAAGGGUCUUAGGCCAUAUAGGCCGGACUACUGGUACUAUUGGUUUGUGUUGUAGAGUCGAGUGUCUAGUUAGGAUCUGGAACUUUAGCCUUAGGUUACGUUCUAGAUUGAGUUUGUUUUGUUGUGAGUGUGCCGACAGUAUGUGCGUGACCCGCCCAUACUAGGCUUGUGUAGGGGUGAGUUAGUGUUCCUUCAGACCUCGUACCCAGCGGGUUCAAGGAAACCCCUUAUUCGCUGGAUCGGGAAGACUCAGAGAGACGGGGUCAUGGCCUAUGGCUGAGUGAUUACACGACGGUGUAAUGUGGCAGUGACCCGAAGGACUGUGGGCUGUCGCGCGGUGACCCGAAAGACUGUGGGCCGCGGUCGGUUGAAAGUUCCUUCUUCUGGCCUUUGUGGUAGGAAGAUAGGAUAUUGCCGAUAGGGAGGAGGAACACGAAGUCACCAGGGCCCAGGUUAGAGUGUUGUGUUAGUGUGUCGUAGAGGGUUAUAGAACCCUCGAGUUAGUGUAGCACCGAUAUACGGUGUUACGAGUUAGAUAGAGUCGUAGUUACUCAUAGUCUUAUUAUUGUGAUUGUGUUUGUGGUUGAUUGAUUUGCUUGCAGGUUCUGACAUUAAGUCCUAAGUCUGGCUUAGGUACCGGAUUAGGCUUGAUGUGUAUUUUGUUAGUGUAGGCCUGACGUUGGCCUGUAUGUGUUUGAGUGAUUGCUUGUGAAGGGUGGUGGAUAUUAAAUCUAUGCGGUAUCAUUGGUUGGCCGAUCAUGUUCUUGUUUGAUUGUUGGUCGAUCGACUAAUGAUACUUGUAUAGUCUAAGUGUCUAACACUACAUGAGUACUGAACUCAGGCGUAUAUAUGGUUAACUAAGGAUUGGUUGUUGACUUGUUUUAGUGCAGGUUCCCGUUACUUGAAGCUAGAUCAUGGCAAGAGGCCAAGUCUAACUUAGUAACGGUUUGCUUAGCCUUAGCUUUUAUUGCAUGCUGGGGCUAGAUUGAUUGUUAUUUUGGGUUGUCCGGGUUAGAGUCUAGGUUGCGGGUAGAGGCCGCCAGCUCACUGAGUAACAUUAGGUUACUCAUCCAAUCCGUUGUCCUUUUUGCAGGUCGCUUUAGGUAAGGAUGAUCGGAUAGCUUGGUGCUGGACGUUAGGACCGCCGGUGUAGAUUUUCAUGCCUUUUGUAAACGGUAUUGUGGAUUUGUGUUUAGUUGACUCGAUUUGGCAUUAGGCCGGGACCGGUCUCGAAUUAUAUCAAUGUAUGGAUAUUUCUCGAAUCAAUAAAGUAAUUGUUUUAUAUGCGCUUCAUGAGUACUCUGAUAUUUGACUAGUCCGGUCUAACACAACGUUAGGUCGUAGUACGGGUUGAAAAGCCUUAGGCCUCGAUCUAACGGAAAACACUAACUCUAGGUACGGGUUGCAAAGCCUUAUGCCUUGACGCAGCGGGACGAGUUAGUGGAUGAACUGGUCUAGGUCGUGGAGUAAAGUUUGUGACUCUGACCGGAUUGUCCCUAGCCCGUCACGUAGCGCUUCCGGACCAUGGUGUUGGGUUGGACGGUCAGUCAUGUUCUUGUUUGAUUGUUGGCUGGCCGGUUGGCCUUUCAUCUCCAACCCUGGGUAUUGUACGGUCGAUCGGUCAUGUUCUUGUUUGAUUGUUGGCCGGUUGAUCGACCAUAUGUCUAGGACGGUUCGGGGGUGUUACAAAAGGUGGUAUCAGAGCAUGGUUUCGUCCAUGCUUCCGGAACUCAUGAUUUAAUCGGUUUUAAAUAUUUAUCGAGUCAAAUUGAGUCACAAAAGGCAUUAGGGAAACCGGUCACGUCCAGCGAUAGGAUUUGAGGUUUUAGGAAUUAGGAUUGAGAUAGUGUAAUCUAGAAUUGCUAGGUUGCUUGGGUAGAACUGUUAGGUUUCUGGUUAGAAUUGCGGUUAGGUUGAAUUGUUAGUAUUUGCUGGGUUAGUGGAUUAUUUGAUUAAUUGUUUACUAACUUGCAUGUGAGGUGUUCUUUUGAGUUGCAGCGAGUAAGUGUGUUCGUUGAUCGGAACUUUAAGGGAUGAAAACCUUAAAGUGGAGGGAGUUCGAGGCCAAACCCAAACCCGAAGCGAAAGAGGAGAGACAGAUUCAGAGAGAACUGGACAGUGGUAUGGACUGGACAGAUGGGAGGAAACAAGACUUCAUUGGGGAAGGACUUCAUCAGUAUUUGGGAAGACGAAGAUCAAGAAAAGGUUUGAGGAAUCUGGACAAGAUAGUAUCAUGGGCAAUGAGGGUGUUAUGGCAGAGUAAAUGCAAGAAGACGAUUCAGUAUUCAUCAAGUGAAGAGUUUUGUGGCAACUUUGAGAAGGAGACUCAUGGGAGAGCAGUAGAUACGGUGAAGCAACAUGAAGAUGAAUUCAGCAUGAGAGUGAAGCGACAUGGAGAUGAGUUAAGAAUGAGUGAAGCAUGGGAGAUAAAGAAGUGAAGGACGGAUUCAAGACUAAAGGAAUGCUUUGAGAUGUAUCAAGACGGAGUGAGUUCAGAACCAGAAGUUUGGGUGGAGACCAGAGAAACCGAAAGGAGGAAACCAAGGGCAAACCGAUAAAGAAACACAUAAAGUGAUCAAGACCGCGUGACAAGUGAUCCAAGGAGAAAUUUUCAUCAAGGGGAUGAACAUGUCGUGAAGCUGAGCCAUUGGACAACUAAGAAUUCGAGGACGAAUUCUAUUAAGGGGGGAAGAAUGUGAUAACCCGCACUUCGGGAUAAAAUGGUCGAAAGAGCAAAAGUCAGAAUCCAGAGCCGAGCUUUUGGGAAUCAAAGCAAUUGAAGGAAUGCUAAGUUUUGAUCACUUAAGACUUAACAUGGAUCGAAGAAAAUAUAAGAUUGGUCGAGCAUCAACUUUGUGGUUGAGUCGCGGGCAAUACAGAUCGAUCAGGAAAUUUGAAGUACGAGAAGGUCGAAGAAUGGAUCGUGAGUGAAGCAUGAGUUGAGAUAAGCUGCUCUACCAUUGUUAGAAAUGUCUUAGAUUGAUCAGACGGCAGUUUUGGAAGAAUCACAUUUUUGAAGCACGACGGUUUAGAAGCUCGACGUUUUUGAAGAUUGACGUUUCUUCAUCGCGAAGUUUUCUCGGAAUAUCUUCGUAUCAGUAAAAUAUUAUUCUGAAGACAUUAUAAGUCGGAAGCAGGACGGAAAUUAAGCAGGACGGGAAGCAAGCACGACGGGAUUGAAGCACAACGGGAAAACCCGAAGUUGGGCGAAAACCCUAAUUUUGGUAUUAUCGAUUUUUCGACGAAGCCGGAGGCUCGGGAAAUAUUUUCCAUCAAGGUCAGGAUUCACUUGGAGUUUAUUAAAAAUAUUCAUCUCAUCAGAACGGGCGUAGAAAAAUAUUCGGGAUUGAUCGCGGGACGAAAAUUCACCGGAAGUGUCGAAAUCAGUCGAAUGGACCGAGAAGCUCGAGCUGGCCUUAUCUAUGAGAUAAGGACGUGAUGUAACCUGCCUGGCAUGGUGUGUGGCAAGGGAAGCAGGAGGUGUUGAAGCCCAGGAGAGCACAGCAUGCUGAUUGACACCCAGAAGCACGAGGUGCCACGAAACCUGCGAUCGGAGCAUGCUGAGCGACAUGUGUGCGCUGAGUGUCAAUCUGGAUGAGGUCAGGCCGUGUAUCAGACAUCUGUAGGGCAUGGUUUCACUCUGCAUGAUGUCCUGGUCAUGCCAUCAGACAUGUGGAGCACGAGGUGACGCGACGCAUGCGUCCGGAGCCAUGGGAAGCGACACACGGGCUGCCACACGGCUUGUUUCUGAUUGGUUGCUGCAUCCUAUAUAAACCCCACGACCCCAGAUCAUUUCAAACCAUCCAGCACACCUGAAACUCAGAGAAAAACGUGAGAGAGAAAGCUAGAGAAAGAAAGUUCGAGUUUCGAUCGUUUUCGAGUCUUUUCGGCAGUUUUCGAGAACAGUUAUUCUACUUAUUUCAAGUCAGCGCCUAGGGGAGGUUCUAGCCAACUGAAGAUCAACCAAUUGAAUAUCAAUUCAGAUGGGAAGCAAGUCAACGUGGUUAGAGAGAGAGAGAAAGAGAGUGUAGCUGAGUUCCGAAGAUCGAUACUUCACCAAGAAGCGAUGUUUUGUCCAAUCGAAGAAUUUCUGCAAUUGUUAUGCGGAAGCUCUGCCCAAGUCAAUCUGUCCACUCUACUCAUACUCUUUGAUGAUCAAGUGGAGGUGCUGUCCAAGAUCAGUUCAGUUCCAUGGUUUCAGUUCAGUUGAGGUUAUGGUUCGAUACUCUGUUCAGAUUUCAGAAGAAUUGUUCAGAAGCUAAGGAAGGUGCUGUUCGAGUUGAGUUCAGUCCAGACCAGUAUCAGGGGAGGUUCUGUACAAGUCAAGAUCAGUCCAGUCCAUUCCAGUCAAGGCGUCCCUUGGGUUUUGGCCAAGUCCUCUCCGAUCAACUAGCAGCUUCUCGCCUAGAACACUGUGAGUUGGUUUUGUUUGAAUUCCACUUGGAAUUUAGGGUAGAUCGAGUCGCAUAUAGAGUAGAAUGAUCACGUUAUUGAAUGGUAGAGUCCUUAGGGUUAUUUUAUUUAUGGAACCGGACUCAGUUUAGCAAGGGCUAAGCUGAGAUGAAUGGAAUUAAGACUGAGUUAAUAACCUGACUAGGACUAGGGCUAGGAUGCAUCAUGUUUUCUAUUCUUGCGUGUUGAUAUGGUUGAGUGCAGGUUCCUGUUAUCUUUAAGGAUAGUUUCAUAGCAGGAGGCUGGACUAUCUGGAUAACGGUUUGAUUUAAUUGAUUAGUAUUGAUUAUUAUUGCUUAGUCGUUUAGUAGUUAGUACUAAGGGUCUUAGGCCAUAUAGGCCGGACUACUGGUACUAUUGGUUUGUGUUGUAGAGUCGAGUGUCUAGUUAGGAUCUGGAACUUUAGCCUUAGGUUAGGUUCUAGAUUGAGUUUGUUUUGUUGUGAGUGUGCCGACAGUAUGCGCGUGACCCGCCCAUACUAGGCUUGUGUAGGGGUGAGUUAGUGUUCCUUCAGACCUCGUACCCAGAGGGUUCAAGGAAACCCCUUAUUCGCUGGAUCGGGAAGACUCAGAGAGACGGGGUCAUGGCCUAUGGCUGAGUGAUUACACGACGGUGUAAUGUGGCAGUGACCCGAAGGACUGUGGGCUGUCGCGCGGUGACCCGAAGGACUGUGGGCCGCGGUCGGUUGAAAGUUCCUUCUUCUGGCCUUUGUGGUAGGAAGAUAGGAUAUUGCCGAUAGGGAGGAGGAACACGAAGUCACCAGGGCCCAGGUUAGAGUGUUGUGUUAGUGUGUCGUAGAGGGUUAUAGAACCCUCGAGUUAGUGUAGCACCGAUAUACGGUGUUACGAGUUAGAUAGAGUCGUAGUUACUCAUAGUCUUAUUAUUGUGAUUGUGUUUGUGGUUGAUUGAUUUGCUUGCAGGUUCUGAGAUUAAGUCCUAAGUCUGGCUUAGGUACUGGAUUAGGCUUGAUGUGUAUUUUGUUAGUGUAGGCCUGACGUUGGCCUGUAUGUGUUUGAGUGAUUGCUUGUGAAGGGUGGUGGAUAUUAAAUCUAUGCGGUAUCAUUGGUUGGCCGAUCAUGUUCUUGUUUGAUUGUUGGUCAAUCGACUAAUGAUACUUGUAUAGUCUAAGUGUCUAACACUACAUGAGUACUGAACUCAGGCGUAUAUAUGGUUAACUAAGGAUUGGUUGUUGACUUGUUUUAGUGCAGGUUCCCGUUACUUGAAGCUAGAUCAUGGCAGGAGGCCAAGUCUAACUUAGUAACGGUUUGCUUAGCCUUAGCUUUUAUUGCAUGCUGGGGCUAGAUUGAUUGUUAUUUUGGGUUGUCCGGGUUAGAGUCUAGGUUGCGGGUAGAGGCCGCCAGCUCACUGAGUAACAUUAGGUUACUCAUCCAACUCCGUUGUCCUUUUUGCAGGUCGCUUUAGGUAAGGAUAAUCGGAUAGCUUGGUGCUGGACGUUAGGACCGCCGGUGUAGAUUUUCAUGCCUUUUGUAAACGGUAUUGUGGAUUUGUGUUUAGUUGACUCGAUUUGGCAUUAGGCCGGGACCGGUCUCGAAUUAUAUCAAUGUAUGGAUAUUUCUCGAAUCAAUAAAGUAAUUGUUUUAUAUGCGCUUCAUGAGUACUCUGAUAUUUGACUAGUCCGGUCUAACACAACGUUAGGUCGUAGUACGGGUUGAAAAGCCUUAGGCCUCGAUCUAACGGAAAACGCUAACUCUAGGUACGGUUUGCAAAGCCUUAUGCCUUGACGCAGCGGGACGAGUUAGUGGAUGAACUGGUCUAGGUCGUGGAGUAAAGUUUGUGACUCUGACCGGAUUGUCCCUAGCCCGUCACGUAGCGCUUCCGGACCAUGGUGUUGGGUUGGACGGUCAGUCAUGUUCUUGUUUGAUUGUUGGCUGGCCGGUUGGCCUUUCAUAUCCAACCCUGGGUAUUGUACGGUCGAUCGGUCAUGUUCUUGUUUGAUUGUUGGCCGGUUGAUCGACCAUAUGUCUAGGACGGUUCAGGGGUGUUACAUCCUGUGUGUGCUGACGGACACCCACGGACGUCCUGUGUGUACUGAACAGAUAGCCCACGUGGACAAAAAUCACGCGAACAGUCCACGGGAAGGGCCAGCGUGCUGAGUCCAAGGACCAGCUGGCUGAUAUGUGUACUGAUGGACAGCAUUGAGAUCAGAACGUUCUGAAGAUUUCAACUGAGGUUCAUGUUUUUCACCAUACUGACCAGACUGACCGGACACUGUACUGGACUGUCCCACAUGCAUCCGGAUGGGAGCUUUGGCUGGAACCAUGGCCAGAUGACCGAUUUGACCAUACCAGAUUUUGUAUCCACCAUACUGUUUUCCAUUUCAUGAAGAACAGUCGAGACGAAAUCGCAUUCGGACGCACCAAUUCUGAGAUAGGUCAUCGCUACUCAAUUCUGGACUGUACCGUACGUACUGCCCGCGCGACCGGAUUGGAACUUCUUCAAAACUCACGACCAGACGAUCGAAUCCCUCGUACUGAAUCUCGGCUUUCCUGACCUGUUUUGCAAUCUAAGAAGAAUGGUCGUGGCAGAUUUCAAUUUGAUCGAAUGGAUUUCAAGUUAGGCCGUGCAACUUCAUUUCCGGCUAGUUUGGACUCUCCUGAUCGCGUACUGGCCCUGUCCACGGGACAUGCUGAAGGUUCAUUGAAUCUGGACAGUGGAAUUUGAAGAGUUCACUUGCAGUCAAUGUUAAUUUUCGUGCUUGACCAGAUCUGGUCAAUUUUAUAAUUUUCUAUGUUUAGAUUUCCCACAUUUUUCUUUAAGUCUUUUGACUAGAACUUCUAUAUAAUGUAACCAUCAGAUCUGAAUAAGAUAAUUUCGUUUUGCUUUCAUUCUUUUGAGUUUUUACUCUCUUUGUUCUUUGUUAGAACAUUUCUUAGUUUCUUGGUGAGGUUAUCUCCAAGUUUCGAUCCGUCUUUUGUUGGACCGGUGCGUCACAUCCGGCAACGAUCGAAGUCUGGUAGUAUCUUUGGGCUAUUCCGCAACCCUUAGUGUCACCGUUCAUACCAUCAGUUCUCAAUCCUCUCGAAUCUGAGUUCAUAUCAACCUUACCGAAAGAGUGAUCCUUAUUUUGGUUCUAUCACCACGUGGGCCAAAAUAACCCAAACAGUCCACGGAAAGGGCCAGCGUGCUUAGUCGGAGGACCAACGUGCUGAUAUGUGUACUGAUGGACAACCAUGGACGUCCUGUGUGUGCUGACGGACACAGACGGACACACACGGACACACACGGACAGCCACGGACGUCCUAUGUGUGCUGGCGGACACCCACAGACGUCCUGUAUGUACUGAACAGACAGCCCACGUGGGCCAAAUUCACCCAAACAGUCCACGGGAAGGGCCAUCGUGCUGAGUCCAAAGACCAACGUGAUGAUAUGUGUACUGAUGGACAGCCAAAGACGUCCUGUGUGUGUUAACGGACACACACGGACACACACGGACAGCCACGGACGUCCUGUGUGUGCUGACGGACACACACGGACGUCCUGUGUGUGCUGACGGACACCCACGGACGUCCUGUGUGUGCUGACGGACACACAAAAACACAAUGACAGCCACAGACGUCCUGUGUGUGCUGAUGGACAGCCACGGACACCCUGUGUGUGCUGGUGGACACCCACAGACGUCCUGUGUGUACUUAAUAGACAGCCCACAUGGGCCAAAAUCACCCGAACAGUCCAAGGGAAGGGCCAGCGUGCAGAGUUCAAGGACCAACGUGCUGAUAUGUGUACUGAUGGACAGCUACGGACGUCUUGUGUGUGCUGACGGACACCCACGGACACACACGGACACACACAGACAGCCACAGACGUCCUGUGUGUGCUGCGGACACCCACAGACGUCCUAUUUGUACUGAACAGACAGCCCACGUGGGCCAAAAUCAGUCCACGAGAAGAGUCAGCGUGCUGAGUCCAAAGACCAACGUGCUGAUAUGUGUACUGAUGGACAGCGAUGGACGUCCUGUGUGUGCUGACGGACACACACGAACAAACACGGACAGCCACAAACGUCCUGUGUGUGCUGACGGACACACAAGGAUGUCCUGUGUGUGCUGACGGACACCCAUAGACGUCAUGUGCGUACUGAACACACAACCCACGUGGGCAAAAAUCACCCGAACAGUCCACGGGAAGGGUCAGCGUACUGAGUCCAAGGACCAAUGUGCUGAUAUGUGUACUGAUGGACAGCCACAGACUUCUUGUGUGUGCUGACGGACACACACGGACGUCCUGUGUGUGCUGACGAACACCCACGAACAUCUUGUGUGUGUUGACGGACACACACGAACACACACAGACAGCCACAGACGUCCUGUGUGUGCUGACGGACAGCCACAGACGUCCUAGGUGUGCUGGCGGACACCCACGGACGUCCUAUGCGUACUGAAUAGACAGCCCACGUGGGCCAAAAUCACCCAAACAGUCCAAGGUAAGGGCCAGCGUGCUGAGUUCAAGGACCAACGUGCUGAUAUGUGUACUGAUGGACAGCCACGGAUGUCUUGUGUGUGCUGACAGACACACACGGAAACACACAGACAGCCACGGACGUCCUGUGUGUGCUGGCGGAUACCUACAGACGUCCUAUGUGUACUGAACAGACAGCCCACGUGGGCCAAAAUCAGUCCACGAGAAGAGUCAGCGUGCAGAGUCCAAGGACCAACGUGCUGAUAUGUGUACUGAUGGACAGCCACAGACAUCCUGUGUGUGCUGACGGACACACACGAACAAACACGGACAGCCACGGACGUCCGGUGUGUGCUGACGGACACACACGGAUGUCCUAUGUGUGCUGACGGACACCCACGGACGUCCUGUGCGUACUGAACACACAACCCACGUGGGCCAAAAUCACCCGAACAGUCCACGGGAAGGGUCAGCGUACUGAGUCCAAGGACCAAUGUGCUGAUAUGUGUACUGAUGGACAGCCACAGACGUCUUGUGUGUGCUGACGGACACACACGGACGUCCUGUGUGUGCUGACGAACACCCACAAAUGUCUUGUGUGUGCUGACGGACACACACGAACACACACGGACAGCCACAGACGUCAUGUGUGUGCUGACGGACAGCCACGGACGUCCUGUGUGUGCUGGCAGACACCCCCAGACGUCCUGUGUAUACUGAAUAGACAGCCCACGUGGGCCAAAAUCACCCAAACAGUCCAAGGUAAGGGCCAGGGUGGUGAGUUCAAGGACCAACAUGCUGAUAUGUGUACUGAUGGACAGCCACAUAUGUCUGGUGUGUGCUGACGGACACAUAUGGACACACACAGACAGCCACGGACGUCCUGUGUGUGCUGGCGGACACCCACAGACGUCCUAUUUGUACUGAACAGACAGCCCACGUGGGCCAAAAUCAGUCCACGGGAAGAGUCAGCGUGCUGAGUCCAAGGACGAACGUGCUGAUAUGUGUACUGAUGGACAGCCACGGACGUCUUGUGUGUGCUGACGGACACUGACGGACACACACGGACGUCCUGUGUGUGUUGACGGACACACACAGACGUCCUGUGUGUGCUGACGGACACCCACAGACGUCCUGUGCGUACGAAACAGACAGCCCACGUGGGCCAAAAUCACCUGAACAGUCCACGGGAAGGGUCAGCGUACUGAGUCCAAGGACUAACGUGUUGAUAUGUGUACUGAUGGACAGCCACGGACGUCCUGUGUGUGCUGAAAGACACACACGGACACACACACGGACAGCCACGGACGUCCUGUGUGUGCUGACGGACACCCAUGGACAUCCUGUGUGUGCUAACGGAAAGAACUUUCCGCGGAUUUCUAAUCUGCAAAGUUUGAUCGAUGAUUUAGAAUAGCGGAAAACAUAGACUGAGCUCGCUACGGUCUUCGGGAGAUAGCAUUUGAAGGUUUGACGAGAAUGCAUGGACUGGUGUCAUCCCGAUGGUCGGAAGAGCUUGGUCGCUACGCAGCGACCGAACUUUGGCUCGAGCCCGAUCGAUACGUAGCGACCGAGCGAGACGGACGCUCGGUCGCUACGUAGCGACCGAGCAAGACGGACGCUCGGUCGCUACGUAGCGACCGAGCUUGGCUCGAGCUCGAUCGCUAUGUAGCGACCGAGCUGUUUUCAUGCUUGGUCGCCGCGUAUCGAUCGAGCUUGGCUUGUCCGUGGUGUGAUUUCCAUACUCGAGCUUGUCCGCGGUCUGAUUUCCAUACUCGAGCUUGUCCGCGGACGAUUUGGAUACAUGUCCGUUGCCUUCGGACAAUCGGUAUUUAGUGGUUCGAUUGAUAUUUGGACGAGAUUUUACUGCAAGGCUCUUCAUAAAGAUAUCUUUACGAAGAUUACUUUUCGUAAAAACAUUUAUGCUGAUUUUUACGGACUUUCAGACAUUGAUUCCGUCAUGACCGAUUUUGACCCCAACAGUUAGCCCCCCAGCUCGUUAGAACCAUGAGUUUCUAGCGUGAGGUUCUAGCGAGUGGCUUGGCAAGUUAGGCAAGUUAGGCGGAGUUACUGGUUGAAAAGGUCUGUGGUAAGUGAUCUUCUCGCUCUCCUAAAAGUAGAAAACGCGAUAAGAUUGGGGCUGCCCCUUAUGACGGCUGCCUACGUACCCUUGUUGAAGGGAUCAAGCCUUUCGUAGUUCAUCUUGGAGUUAAGGUUCUUAUGACUAGUUUUCCAGUAGGACCUUUAUGGUCUAGUUUUUAUGUAGCGGUUAUAAGGCGUGUUGCUCCCGAUGGCAUUUUGUAUGGGUGUAGAAGGAAGACUACGAGUUGUCGUCUCGUAAUCUAACUCUGUGUGAAUUGCCAUAUCCAUAAUCUGUUUCGAGAGUUUUCCGAAGUGUGUAAACUUGCGGGAUUUUCUGAAGACGUUCGAAUAUUGGCAAAGAGACAAAUUUUGGGAUCUCGUAUCAGGGUGUUUGAUACUAUGCCUAGAGAUGUUAGAGACCAGUGCGCUGGGUUUAGGGCAAGACCUAGGUUUACUUUCGGUUUAAGGAUUGUGCGGUGACUGGCCGGCUAUCGUUUUUCCUGUUGCGAUUUCUUCAUGAUUCGUAUCGAUUUAAAGUCCGCGAUAGGUUCUCGGUUUAUACGACUUGUUUGAUACGAAUAGAGCAUCUCUCCGGAGACCGGAAGUGCUGGACCAAAAUUUCGGAUUUCUUUUAUUGCGCUAUUAUCCUUGUGUCGGAUGUAAGAGAGUCAUCUUCGUGAGAUGGCUAUGUCUGUUUAGGACGUUGAGAGUUUGUUGUGAUCAGCAACAAACUUAACGGUAAAAAAUACCGUUUCGAGUCUUUGCGAAGAAUAUUUUUUGAGAAGAUGUUAGUGCGUAUGACUGUUUGGUCUUCCAUGAAGGUGUUUUUAUCGAGGAAGGAAAUUUCGUCGAAGAACUAAUCUUCAGGCGUCUGCGACGUCUUGCGAUGCUGAAAAUUUGUUAUUCUUUCGUAUGCCACGUUUCGUGCUUGAAAUGUUCGCGGGCUUGAAGAUAUUUCGCGAUGUUGCAAGGGUUUAGUCUUAGCCAUGCGUUUUAAAAACAUUCUAGUUUGACUACGAAUGUUCGCAGCCAAAAUUGUUGUUCAUGUUUGGAUGCUAAUAGUUUUAUUUGCGAUCGAGGAAUUAUGACUGAGGUGUCGUGUAAAUUUGUCCAUGGGAACAAGCGUUUUCCUUCAUAGUGCUUUGUGAAGUGUUGGCCUUCUAAGAUGUAUUUCGUGCCUUUUUUAGGAUGUUUCGUAUAGCUCUAGAAGCUUUGUUACGAAUUUUUCCUUACAUGCCGCGUAUUAUGGUUAAAACGUUGCGGGCUUAAAGUGAAUUGUGGAGCGUAUUGAACUUGGUCAAUUUUCGAAAAGUUUAGAUUUUCCGUUAACCGUUUGGUUGUUAGGACUUAGUUUCGUUACGAAGAAUUUAUCAUAUGAUUUCCGACUGUGGGCUAUACGAUAAUUUAUCAUAUCAUAUAACCGAUUUUACGAAGGUCGUAAAUCAGUGAUAUGUAUACAUAUGUCAAAGUAGCAUUGUUUCUGCGGGUUCUACGAGAAACGUUCCCGCUGUGAUUUUGAUCUUAGGUGAAAGUUGCUUGGAGUUACCCAUGGAGUAUUACCGAAGUUUAUUUCAAUACGAUCUAGUCGCGGAACGUUUUUCAUAGGUUUUCGAGAGGAUUCUCAUGACACAUUCGUUUCUUGAACGAAUUGGUCAACCAGAAGUGGAUCUAGCUAACCAUCGGGAGGAAAGUGCUCCUUUUAAUGUGCACGAUGCUACAUAUAUUCUCGAGUUUUCUUCGUUGCAAAUGUUUUCGAUGCUUUUCCGUGACUUACUUGGUACAACGGAAACUGAAAGAAAUGCUUUGGUGAUUGAAGAUUUCUCGUAGAAAUUUUUAAAACGAAACUGGCUUUCUGAAGCCGGAAAAAGCUUCAAUACUUUGGCUAAUCGACAAUCGUUUGAUAUUGGUACAAGUUUUCUGUACGCAUGAUUGCUACAAGAAAUGAUGUAUAGUUUUUGAGAUUAUGUUCAUGAUCGUCUGGAUAUGUUGCUAGCGUUUAGACGGAUAUUAAGAUUUUCGCUUGCCUAUUCUUGACGAUUUGCAGAAGUUUUUUGAGGUUUGGGAGUAUACGAGUAUAGUAUACGUACCUACUCCCCUUUUUUUUUUUUUUUUUUUACGAAAGAAAACGGUUGAACCGAUACUUUGAAGGGUUGUGUACGUUUUCUCUUCUGAUGUUUGGAAUGAUCGAUAAUUCGGGACGAUUUAUAGACGACGCUUGGAAUGUGAUUUGGUUGUUUCCACGUUGACGACUUGGGAUAUGUCGGUUCCGAGAAAAUUGCCAGAAACGAAUCGGUUUUAAGACGACGUUCAUGUCUCUAAAUUUUUCUCUUUUUAAGAAGCGAGCUUGAUAUGCGUGGCGAUCGUUUCUCGACUUUCGGAGAGUUUAGAUCGGUUUGCAAGAUCUGGAUGAACAAUUAUGGAACAAUAUAUCGAGACAGGAAAAAUCGCUUAUAACUUAGUUCGCUAGACUAUCCGCCUAGGUUUUACGUUCCCUAAAGUUCUAUGGCAGCCUCAAAGUAAUUUCCUACGAAAAUUCCAAGUCUGAUUUCAAAAAUUUCAAGUCGGAAAUACCUUAGUUCUCUCGAAGAUGCAGUUUUGUCCCUUCUCAGUUUUGCGUGCUCAUUUCCGUUUCCUAUUCUCGUGUAUGUUCGCCAUUUCCGAUAUUGGUGUUUAUCCUUUGAAACUUGACAGUUAUCUUCCGAACUUGACUGUUGUCUUCUCCUUAGAUAAGACGUUGAUUUUUGUAAAAAGGUUCAACGCAAUCGUAUAUUUAAGGCGGCUAAGGUGUUAAGUUAACCGUCGCCGUUUUAUACGAUUAAUCUGAAUCCAUGCGAGAAAAUAGGUCUUUGCGGUUUUUUUAUAAAAUCUCAAUGGUAACUUCAAUCGAGGCGAAAUAAGAGACGUUUUGAUCGAGAUUCGAAAGUGAACGCAAAGAUGGAGGUAGGGUGAGCAGAAACAAGCCAAGGAGUUUAAGAUGAGUUUUACUUGUUUUUGUCGUAAAAUCUCAACGGAAACUCCGAUUGAGACGAAACGAAAAGCGUUUCGAGGAGAAUUCAAAGGAGAACGCAAAGGAGGAUCCCUUUGAGGCCUGACAGGUCGCUACGUUGCGACAGACAGUCUGACAGGUCGCUACGUAGCGAGUGGAAGCAAGCCAAGAAGAGUCCUACUUGUUUUCGUCGUAAAAUCUCAACGGAAACUCCGAUUGAGACGAAACGAAAAGCGUUUCGAUGAGGGUUCAAAGGAGAACGCAAAGGAGGACCUCUUUGAGGCCUGACAGGUCGCUACGUAGUGACUGACGGUCUGACAGGUCGCUACGUAGCGAGUGGAAGCAAGCCAAGAAGAGUCUUACUUGUUUUCGUCGUAAAAUCUCAACGGAAACUUCGAUUGAGACGAAACGAAAAGCGUUUUGAUGAGGAUUUAAAGGAGAACGCAAAGGAGGACCUCUUUGAGGCCUGACAGGUCGCUACGUAGCGACUGACGGUCUGACAGGUUGCUACGUAGCGAGUGGAAGCAAGCCAAGAAGAGUCCUACUUGUUUUCGUCGUAAAAUCUCAACGGAAACUCCGAUUGAGACGAAACGAAAAGCGUUUCGAUGAGGAUUCAAAGGAGAAAGCAAAUAAGGACCUCUUUGAGGCCUGACAGGUCGCUACGUAGCAACUGACGGUCUGACAGGUCGCUACGUAGCGAGUGGAAGCAAGCCAAGAAGAGUCCUACUUGUUUUCGUCGUAAAAUCUCAACGGAAACUCCGAUUGAGACGAAACGAAAAGCGUUACGAUGAGGAUUCAAAGGAGAACGCAAAGGAGGACCCCUUUGAGGCCUGACAGGUCGCUACGUAGCGACUGACGGUCUGACAGGUCCCUACGUAGCGAGUGGAAGCAAGCCAAGAAGAGUCCUACUUGUUUUCGUCGUAAAAUCUCAACGGAAACUCCGAUUGAGACGAAACGAAAAGCGUUUCGAUGAGGAUUCAAAGGAGAACCCAAAGGAGGACCUUUCUGAGGCUUUACAGGUCGCUACGUAGCGACCGAGCGGUGUGCGUGCUCGGUCGCUACGUAGCGACCGAGCAGUGCGUGCUCGGUCGCUAGAUAGCGACCGAGCAGUGUGCGUGCUCGGUCGCUACGUAGCGACCGAGCGGUGCGUGUGCUCGGUCGCUACGUAGCGACCGAGCGGUGCAUGCUCGGUGGCUACGUAACGACCGAGCGGUGUGCGUGCUCGGUCGCUAUGUAGUGACCGAGCAGUGCGUGCUCGGUCGCUACGUAGUGACCGAGCGGUGUGCGUGCUCGGUCGCUACGUAGCGACCGAGCAGUGCGUGCUCGGUCGCUACGUAGCGACCGAGCAGUGUGCGUGCUCGGUCGCUACGUAGCGACCGAGCUGUGUAAUUGAUUUGUUGCGUUUCCUUUUCCGCGAUUAACCUAAGGGUUUUUCAGGGGUUUUUGGGAGAACAAGUUUUACCCUUCCGAAAUGUUUUCGGAAAACAUGUUUUGGUAAAACCCUUACGCAUCGAGAUUUCUUUUGUUCGUUAAUGAGCCAAACUUACGGGGUUUUGAUAAGAUUUAUCGUUUCCCUUCGUGUUUACAGGGAGAAAUAGCGAGCUUGUUUUAGUGCUCUUCCUGUGGCGGAAGGUCGCGACUAAGUUUUCGAUUUUGUUGAAAACUACGGUGUUUGCGUAAGCGUUGGCCAUAGGAGCAGUCAGUGCUGCGAGUUUCUCUUUCAUGUAUCCAGACAUCGUUUCGAUCAAGCGUUUUGUGGCCAUGAGUAAGAGUAAUCCGUUACCUCCCCUCCUUCUAGCGCCAAACUGUGGGAACCGAAAUUCGCACUGUCGAUUUCCGUUUAAAUAAAGAAACUAGGAAAACCCUAUUUUCCCAGAGGUCCCGGAUCUCUGCAGGAGCCAAGGACAAGUGACCAAAUAUAUGCGGAAAUUAUGAAAAGAUAACAAACGAGUUUAGGGAAAACAGUUGAUCUUAUUUCGAGUCCGCGUAAGAGCGUUGCGAUCAUUACAAGAGAUCAUGAAAGCUUUGGCCGCAAAGGCUGUCAGCGAGUUACUUAGUUCUAGCGACCUAAUAGCUCAAACCUAGUUUAGUCGCAGCUCGAUAACGAAAGACGAAAUAGAUAAAGAAACGGUUAUUGAUUGAUUUCGGACUGAACCUUGUUAAAGGCUGCCUACGUACCCCUUUCGAGGAUGAAGCCGAACGUAGUUCAAUUGAUAGAGCUGGACAAGAGAUCGAACUGCCUGGGCGAGUUCGUCUAGUAAUUGUGUGCCAGUCAUAGAAACCGAACUUGUCGAGAAUAAAGCCUAAAGUUUCUAAGUGCAGAGAAUUCCGAAUCUAAAAGCUCUCCCAAUGCUCCUCGCCUAGGACUCCUUAUAUACUAGCUCCAAGGUCGGUUUACGCUUUUACUCUUCUGCCCUUAAGCCGUCAUAGCGUAAAAAUGGAGAUAUUCCAUUUUUCCCAUUUUCACAAUUAUCUUCAAAACUUCCGUAUUUAUCCACGGAAACUUGACAAUUAUCCUUCCUUGUGGACCAAGCGUAAACCGGGCUUUGGUUUACGGGCCUUUGGUUAAGAAAUCGCAGGAUGGGCCUCGAGUCGUGUUUUAGGUCCCUUUGGGCUGUCUUCCGACUCGAAGAGUUUACUACAAUUUCUUUCGACAAAGAAAGAACUUUCCGCGGUUUCUAAUAUGCGAAGUUUGAUCGAUGAUUUAGAAUAGCGGAAAACAUAGACUGAGCUCGCUAUGGUCUUCGGGAGAUAGCAUUUGAAGGUUUGACGAGAAUGCAUGGACUGGUGUCAUACCGAUGGUUGGAAGAGCUCGGUCGCUACGCAGAGACCGAACUUUGGCUCGAGCCCGAUCGCUACGUAGCGACCGAGCGAGACGGACGCUCGGUCGCUACGUAGCGACCGAGCUUGGCUCGAGCUCGAUCGCUAUGUAGCGACCGAGCUGUUUUCAUGCUUGGUCGUCGCGGAUCGAUCGAGCUUGGCUUGUCCGUGGUCUGAUUUCCAUACUCGAGCUUGUCCGCGGCCGAUUUGGAUACAUGUUCGUUGCCUUCGGACAAUCGGUAUUUAGUGGUUCGAUUGAGAUUUGGACGAGAUUUUUACUGCAAGGCUCUUCGUAAAGAUAUCUUUACGAAGAUUACUUUUCGUAAAAACGUUUAUGCUGAUUUCUACGGACUUUUAGACAUUGAUUCCGUCGUGACGAUUUUGACCCCAACAGUCUACUCUAGACUUUCUUCUUGUUCGGAUCUAGGUCCAUGACUAGAUCAAUUCAUUCCCUAGGAACAUACUGCGUACUCAAGUCUUAGUAGAUUCAAACCAUCUCUAAGCCACACGAUGCACCAGCCAAGUCCUAGCGAACAUGUUCCAAUAUUUAGGCUGCUCACUCUACCAUGAGUCCUAACAGAUUGUUUUGUUCCAUUAAGUCCUUCCUGGACAAUAAGGUUUAUGACUCCACAGAUCAUUAAGUACUUAGAUGAGUAGGAUCUCGAUUUGAUCACACAUUUGGAAAAUGUCCCAUACCAUUCUCCAAAGCAUCACACUUCUGUGAACGUCCCAUACCAUUCACAAAAGUGUUUAUAGUAUACCUCAAUCCUCCUCAUACUAAGAUACUUAACAUCGUGUUUCCAAUUCCUCUUGGAAUUGAUCCAUUCCAUUCACUCAAUCUUAAGGAAUCCUACCUUGACUUAUACUGAGUCCAAGCUGAUCCAUCUGAUCACACGCCCACUCAUGUACUAGUCAUGUAGCGUCUCCCUUAGACUAAUAUGAACACGACAUAUGCUCACUUGUUUUGAACGGCCGCCAGGGGAUAACACGAACCUCCAAAAGAGUGCUGCACGUUUCUUUCAACCUAAGCCUAUCCCUGGUCCAUGUACUUCCCUGCUCCAGGUCGUCCAUACAAAGAUCUUGCGUUGCGUCCAUCGUCCAAUCCGUUUACUACUUCCAAAUAACUAGAUAACUAACCUUUCUGUUUUCAGGGUCUUACCCUUGGAGAGUGCAUCUUGGCUAAACCGGCUCAUCUUGGAACUUUCCCGUUCACAACCAUGACACCCAAUCUUACCUCAACUCUCUCUUGGCUCACCAUAGCUAAGGUUCCGAGUCAUCUCAGUUUUCAGAAAUAAUUUCGGUUCGGAACUCAACAUCUUUGAGCACUGUCCUUAACAGGAUCAAGCAUGCUCUGAUACCAACUUGUAAGACCCAAUCCCGGCCGACUAGGCCGCGGUCGAUGCCUCAUGUCGCUCGGUCCAUACUACGACCAAACCUCUAAAUUAUUUUUGCCCUUUAUCUAUAAUAUCGCCCAUAGGCGAGGGCUAACCUAGAUCUUAGCUUACGACUAUCUUAGUCAUUCCAUAGUUUAGAUCAUUUCAACUUAUGCACAGUGGAAUAAUAUCUACUAAACCAUUGGACUAAAUCCAAUCUAGUACUCGUCCGGUCGAAUCAACAACCAGCUUGCUCAAAGAUCGAUCCUAGACCCGAAUCAAGUCAUACAAAUCUGAGGUUCCAUUCCCCUAGUCAAUUCUAUCUAGAACUAAGUAAGAGUUACUAGAUCAUACCUUAGCCACAUCCACGGAGCUUGUUAGCUCAUCGGCCCAGCUAAUCUAGCUGAAUGAACUCGUAAACCAGCUGAUCAAGCUGUCACACUCGAACUGAGCUGAGUCCGAUCUAUGGCCAGCUGCCAUAUACUGCGUCCAGCUUCUUUACACAUAAAACAACUCCCCUAGGUACUUAGUCAUUCAGCCAACCAUCCCCACUGACUUAAGUAACCCUUGAGAAGUCUUCAAACAGCUAAGGACAUGCAUUUGGCCGUUCCCGGCUCAUGCCUCAUUCAACAUCCUUCCGCUUAUCAGCUUAUGAUACCAAGUCCAUCUUAUGGACUAACAAUUCUCAUCAGAUCCUAAGUCAAUCAACCAACCACCCCACAUGACCCAGAACUGAUGAGUAUUCACACAUACCUAACCGGCCAUGGAACCAUGUCCCAACGAAACUGAUCACUACUGCUCUUACAACCGGUGCGUCCUUUGAUCAAUCUGAUCAGACACCUUGACCCAUCAUCUAUGGAUCAGGUCGUCCAUCCUUACCCAUGAUCAGAUUACACACGGCCUUCCUUGAAUAAUAACACUCAAGCUCAGUACUUAUGGUCCAUGCCACCAAGUACUAGCUAGACUCUUCUUUAUGGCUCUUAACCAAUGCUUUGCACAUAGCUUACCAACCCAAGGUUGAUAAAUAACAUUCCUUAUGAUUAAUAAUCAUAAGUGCCAAACAUUUCACAAUACACAAGCAUAUGAUCCGAUAACCUAACACAAAGAUCUAUCAUUGCAUGGCUGGUUCCAUAACUAAUCGAUCAAUUUCUCAUUAAACCCAAAUCUGGCCGAUUUCAAAUGUGAUCCAAAAACUAAAUAAAAUUCUUGUAAAUUCAUGAUAAUUCCCAACUAAGAGAAUUCCAUAAUCAGAAUUUGCAGAACCAACCUCGAUCCUAGAGAUCUCGCCCAAGAUCAGCCAAGUCGGCCCAAAGUGGACAUCAUCAAAUCAAUUCCUAAAAACUGAUUAAAAUUCAUGAAACCUCAUGAUAAUUCAUAACUAAGAGAUUCCCAUAAUCAGAUUCCAAAGAACCGAUCCAGAACAUAUAGAUCUCGAUCAAGAACAGCCCGGCUAAGGCCAUGGACAUCAUUCCUGAACCGGCCAAGGCCAAGGCUCAGUGCCAUCAAGUCUGAUCCAACAGACUACACCAUGUAAACCUAGUUUAUAUCACAAUAUAUAGUCUUCAAGGGGCGUGGCAUACUUGGCCUUGAUCACACCACAAGAGACAGAAAUAUAAACUGGAAAGUAUUUACAAAAUCGGUUACCUUAUACAUGAUCUUAUUAGAUCAUGUGCCUCCUCUUUAUUUGUUCGGCCAUGCUCCUCUAGUGCACGCCUCUAUCAAUCCUUAUCAUAUACUUUCAGUAUUGAUAAGAUCCAUUCAAGGGUCGGACUCAUCAUCCCUUCCAUGGAACUCCCAUGAAACCACUUUGUUCACUGCAUCGACCUUUAAGGCUAUCUUUGCCUCUAAGAGUGGAGUCCGGCUUCCUCCCUUCUCCCCUAACCAUUUCCGUGUGUCCCCAGGCUGUAGAAGAAGCCUAUGACGUGAUCAUCCAUGAUCAUACACCAUCACAGGGUCGUGCAUCACUUCCCCCUUUAAUGGCCAUGGAACUGCCUUUCUACAUACAUCUGCCUUCAAGGCCGUCUAAACCAUUGGAAGUGGGAUCUGGCCUCCUAUGUUCUCUCCAGGCUAUUUGCGUGUGAUGUAUGAAUGUAGAGUAACCCAAGGCGUGGCAAACAAUAAUCAAAACACACCAGAGGGUCGUUUUCAACUCCCCUCUUGAUUGCCCUCCAAAACUGCUUCUUUGAUGCCUUUGAAUGCCUCUUGGUAUUGGAUUGUUGAAUCCAACCAUCUCUAUGUUUUUCUCUGGUUUUCUUUGUGUUUCAGGAUGUAGGAGGAAGCCCUGUCGUGCCUGCAAAGGCACGGACUUGCCUGCCUUUUAUAGAAGAAGGGGCAGUUACCUUUCCAAAGGUUGCACCCUUUCGGUAUCAUUUCUGGCCAUUGAUUUAAUCAAUGGUCCAGAUCACACCCUUUCGCCUCUGGCAGUUACCAGACGUCCUGGAACUGUCAAACCACUCUUGGACAUGUCCAAAAUAAUCCCACACGGAUUUCCCAUGCACCUGUCUCAAUCCCAAGAGCCCACCAGCCCAUCGGCACACACAUGGGUCGCCAACAUGGCCCGGCCACUAUCCGGACCCGGCCCAACUGCCCAAGACUUGAACACUCAGUCCAGCUGAGUUGAACUGAUCCCCAGCUGACCCAGCUGAGUGAGCUAGUCCAUCCAGCUCAGGGAGCUGACAAACUUUACUUGAGCUCCAACCGAGCUUCGUCCAGGUCGUUGAGCUUCUUGCUUGCAUCGCCUAGCUGCUAGACACUUUGUCCAGCUUGCUUUCUUCAUCUUAUUCAAUCCUUCUAAGUCCCUUGGUCUAUUUCCAGACCUAGACUUCGUUUUCCCAUGAUCCAUUCUGAUCAUUUACUAUAUCAUAGCUUCACCUUGAUGACUGAGCUUCACCCGGACCUCGUCUAGCUACCGAAACACUCGACCACUCCUUUGAGCUUGCCUCCGCCUUGUCUUGGCUAAGUCUCAGCUAUAUGUUUCAUUAACCAUUCUAAUGGACCAUGAUACGCUUGUCGUUUGGUCAUGUGACCUGACUGGUCUGUCUCCUCGCACCAAGGUAUGUCCGGACGAUCCUAUCCAGGAUCGGGGACAUGACACCCACGGACGUCCUGUGUGUGCUGACGGACACACACGGACACACACGGGCAGCCACAUACGUCCUGUGUGUGCUGACGGACAGCCACAGACAGCCACGGAUGUCCUAUGUGUGCUGGCGAACACCCACGGACAUCCUAUGUGUACUGAACAGACAGCCCACAUAGGCAAAAAUCCCCCGAACAGUCCACGGGAAGGGCCAGCGUGCUGAGUCAAAGAACCAGCGUGCUGAUAUGUGUACUGAUGAACAGCCACGGACGUCCUGUGUGUGCUGACGGACACACACAGACACACACGGAUACACACGAACAGCCACGGACGUCCUGUGUGUGCUGACAGACAGCGACGGACAGCCACAAACAGCCACGAACGUCCUGUGUGUGCUGGCAGACACCCACAGACGUCCCGUGUGUACUGAACAGACAGACCACGUGGGCCAAAAUCAACCAAACAGUCUACGGGAAGGGCCAGCGUGCUGAGUCCAAGGCCCAACGUGCUGAUAUGUGUACUGAUGGACAGCCAAGGACGUCAUGUGUGUGUGCUGACGGACACACACGGACAGCCACAAACGUCCUGUGUGUGCUGACGGACACACACGGACGUUCUGUGUGUGCUGACGGACACCCACGGACGUUCUGUGUGUGCUGAUGGACACACACGGACACACAAAGACACACACGGACACCCACUGACGUCCUGUGUGUGCUGACGGACAGCCACUGACGUCCUGUGUGUGCUGACGGACAGCCACGGAUGUCCUAUGUGUGCUGGCGGACACCCACGGACGUCCUGUGUGGACUGUACAGACAGCCCACGUGGGCAAAAAUCACACAAACAGUCCACGGGAAGGGCCAGCAUGCUGAGUCAAAGAACCAUCGUGCUGAUAUGUGUACUGAUGGACAGCCACGGACGUCAUGUGUGUGCUGACGAACACACACGGACACACACGGAUACACACGGACAUCCACAGACGUCUUGUGUGUGCUGACAGACAGCGACGGACAGCCACGGACGUCCUGUGUGUGCUGGCAGACACCCACAGACGUCCUGUGUGUACUGAACAAACAGCCCACGUGGGCCAAAAUCACCCAAACAGUCAACGGGAAGGGCCAGCGUGCUGAGUCCAAGGCCCAACUUGCUGAUCUGUGUACUGAUCGACAGCCACGGACGUCCUGUGUGUGUGCUGAUGGACACACACGGACGUCCUGUGUGUGUGCUAAUGGACACACACGGACAGCCACAGACGUCUUGUGUGUGCUGACGAACACACACGGGCGUCCUGUGUGUGCUGACGGACACCCACAGACGUCUUGUGUGUGCUGACGGACAGCCACAGACAGCCACGGAUGUCCUUUGUGUGCUGGAGGACACCCACGGACGUCCUGUGUGUACUGAACAGACAGUCCACGUGGGCCAAAAUCACCCAAACAGUCCACGGGAAGGGCCAGCGUGCUGAGUCCAAGGACCAACGUGCUGAUAUGUGUACUGAUGGACAGCCAUGGACGUCGUGUUUGUGCAGACGGACAAAGACGGAUCAACACGGACAGCCACUGACGUCUUAUGUGUGCUGGUGGACAGCCACAGACGUCCUGUGUGUACGGAACAGACAGCCCACGUGGGCCAAAAUCACCCGAAGAGUCCAUGGGAAGGGUCAGCGUGCUGAGUCCAAGGACAGCGUGUUGAUAUGUGUACUGAUGGACAGCCACAGACGUUCUAUGCUGACGGACACACACGUACAGCGACAGACGUCCUGUGUGUGCUGACAGACAGCCACGAACAGCCAGGGAUGUCCUGUGUGUGCUGGCGGACACCCACUGACGUCCUGUGUGUACUGAACAGACAGCCCACAUGGGCCAAAAUCACCUAAACAGUCCACGGGAAGGGACAGCAUGUUGAGUCCAAGGACCAGCGUUCUGAUAUGUGUACUGAUGGACAGCCACAGACGUCCUAUGUGUGCUGACGGACACACACGGACACACACGGAUACACACGGACAGCCACGGAAGUCCUGUGUGUGCUGACAGAAAGUCACGGACAGCCACGGACGUCCUGUGUGUGCUGGCAGACACCCACGGACGUCCUGUGUGUGCGGGCAGACACCCACGGACGUCCUGUGUGUACUGAACAGACAGCCCACAUGGGCCAAAAUCACCCAAACAGUCCACGGGAAGGGUUAGCGUGCUGAGUCCAAGGCCCAAUGUGCUGAUAUGUGUACUGAUGGACAGCCACUGUAACAUCCCGGAUCCUGAAUAGGAUCAUUGGGACGGCCAUGGUUCAAGGAAACGUACUAGUCAGUCUUAAGACAUCAAGGCAAGCGUUCCAUGGCCAGAUAAGAAGGUUAAGGACGUAAGAAACUUAGACUUAACCUUACACAAGUCAAGAGUCAGCUAGACCGAGCAGGACGGUAGCUGGACGAAUGGAACGGGUAGCUCAACCAGCUCAACGGAGUUAGGUUAAGCUCACUCCAGCUUGGACACUACAAGGUCAGCUCCACUAACUGGACUACUAGCUCACACAGCUGAGGCAGCUGGGGGUCAGCUCAUCUCAGCUGGACGGAAUGUUCGGGUUUCGGUACGAUGGUCCGGGUCCAGGCCGGUGGCAGGCCAUGGGGGUCUGGCCAUGAGGUCAUCGACCGUUGGGGCUUGGGACAAGGCCGUGGGCUAAGUCCAGAAGAGUUGGGUAAGGCUUUGGGCCUCUGUCCGACCCAAACCCAUGUGGUAUUGGCGAAGGGACGCAUGCGGCCGAGAGGGUGUAACCCUUGGCCGAUUGUGCCCCUCCACUGGCCAGUCAUGCCAGUUCAUGGGGCAAGACUUACCCCCUCGUUUUAUAUAAAUAUGGGGUCCUCUAUGUCGAUUUCACGAUUUCAUUCAUCCAAUCCAGAGUAGAAUACUCAGAGAAAUCGUAGAGAGAGAGAAAGAAAGAGAGAGAGAGUUUCCGGCCAAAGCAAGGCCGAUUGUGUGGUGGUUAGGUUUCCAGCGAUCUGAUUGUUUGUGAAGCAACCUCCAAUCAAGUAUGGGAGACCGAGAGCAGGAGAAGAGCGUGGAGAACCCGUACCUGGUUCAGAAGGUACGUGGUGGGCUUUGGCCGCACCAGUCCGAACGGAUGGUCCUUGUGACCGCACCGCGGCUUUGGACGGUUCAUUAGACCUGGCCGCUUCUCCUCUUCUUGUUUCUAUCCGGUCCUUUCUCUUCUUUCUGAUUAUGCACGAAGGGUUAUUGUUGGUUCAGUCCAAGGGACUCGUUCCUAGACUGGCCGGACAUAACCAAACCGCUAACCUAGACGCUGGUCGGUAAGACAGUCGGUUCGAAUCGCACCAUAGACUGGGCGGUUGGACUAAACGGUUGGGCAUGUCCCAAGAGGAUCGAGUGGCCAAAGGUCACGAGUUACCAACUAUUGUGAGUUGCCAAAGGGUGUAAGUAACCAAGGGUUACGAACGCCAAGUGGUAUGAGCACCAAGUGGUACGAGGACCAAGAGGUACCAAAGGCCGAAGGGGUGCGUGUACCAAGCGGUGCCUGUUGAGGCAGGUCGUGUCCGUUCCUUAGGGAUCAGGCCAUGUCUUGUUCGUUGAGACAAGUACACAGUCCGUCCAGGCCAGGGUAAGAGUCGCAAGGUCCGAGCGGCCAUUGGCCUGACCGGAUUGGGCGUGAGGCUUACUCAGCCGUUGGAUCCAGGCCCAAGGCCGGAUUAGGUAAGGAAGUCCGUUGGGCCAUUGAGCCGGACUUCAUCUAGGUCGGUCGCACCAAGAUUCUAUCCGGAUGGACGGAUUGGUCUUCGGGACGAUCCGGAUUGUUCGUGUGUUCUGUUUAUCUAUUCUAGGCUGUCUAUCUGAUUCUAAGUCAAAGGGUGGUUGGUUGAAUGACUUAGGAUUCGGUAGGCAGGUUCAUAUCUUUUUAUAAGUAUAUUGUCUGAGGUUUAUCAAUGUUCUAGGAACCAAGCCAAGCAUUGUAGGAUCAACCAGUCCUAUUCUCGGUUAUGAUUAAUGCUUACCUGGUUGUGGUUUCAGGAACUAAGGAUGGUCCUGGUCAAGCCAAGGAGCCGUGAAGGCUCGGUCAGUGAGAGGCUGUGUAACGUGUGGUUAGAUGAUGCUAAGGACGAACUAGUGAUUGUCUAUGAAACUGUUAAGAAGUUUUGUAUUGGAUCUCAUGUUUCUAAGUAAUACAAAGUUUACACAUUGUUAUUCCGCUGUUAUAUCUGUUCAAUUGAUUUAGAACCUCAGAUUCAAACAUGACUUAGUACAUGAAAGACUUAAAAAUGAAUCAAACAAGCAAAGAAAUUGAUUAAGUAGCAAACGGGUUCAGUCUUGUCGAGAGGCCGGAUUCGGAAGUUACAAGUUGGUAUCAGAGCAUGCUUGAUUCUAGGAUAGUUGGGUUAUAUAGUCCACACACACGCAGCCAGCUGAUUCAGUCUCACGGUGAGGUUUGAUAGUUAGGUCUAGGGAUUAAUUGUCUCGGUUAUGUUAUGUAUAUGUUGUACUAACAAUGUCGGAAUCCUUAGCCUGGGAAAAGCAAAUCGGGAAAGACCCAAAGGAGUAAGAAAGCAGCUGGUCCGUCAAGUCAAGCGGCUGCGGACAGAAUUAAUCUGUCCGGGUUACCAACCGAGCCGGCUGCAACUAACACCGGUGAUGUGUUACCGACUGACCAGGCCAAUCUUACAGGAACCCAACAAGAAGGUCAGCAACACCAGGAGAGCGGCGAUGAAGUGGAAUCCUCGAACGCUAACCGUGAUAGUGACCAGCGUGAGCAAAGGGCCGAGGGAACGGCCAACGUGCCUGCAGUACUGUCCCGUGAGGACUUGUUAGAGGCCAUGAAAGUAAUGGGUAAUCAGGUGGCGGUUAUGACUCAUCUGUUCACUCCACUAGUGAAUUCAUCAGUUGGUCAAGCUACACCUGUAGCUACGGCUACACCUAUUGCUAAGGGUCCAACUGUGGAUGCGGUUGAGGUGAUCGAGAUCGAUCCACCGGAAUGGUCUCUAAAGAAGGUUGACUAUCUGAGUUUGCUUGAACAUCUAUCAUGAUUGGGUACGAAGCAAUUCUCAGGCAGCACCGACCCGGUUGUGGAAGAUGAGUGGAGGAGUAGGCUAGUCCAAAACUUCCAAUCAACUCGCUAUCCAGAGGAUUACAGAUGAGACAUUGCGGCUCACUUCCUUGAAGGGGACACGCAUAAUUGGUGGCUUGCAGUGGACAAGCGCACCAAUGGAAGUCUCACAAGUUUUGCGGACCUUGAAAUUCAAUUCAACCGCAAAUACUUUCCUGCUGAGGCUUGGGAUCGUCUGGAAGCUAAGUCCCUAGAUUUGGUCCAAGGCCGCAGGACCGUACGGGAGUACGAAGAAGAGUUCAACCGACUCAGACGGUUUGUUGGAAGAGAGCUGGAGGACGAAGCAGUCCAGGUACGUAGGUUCAUCCGAGGCCUAAGGCCGGAACAGAAGACCCACUGCUCGAUCUGCAUUUUCAGCACCAUCGGAGAACUGGUGGAACGAGUGGCUUUGUCUGAGUCUAACUUGGCUGAGGAAGCUAAGCUUAAGGCUAAGCCACAGUCUGGCCCAUUGGGCAAGGCUAAUGAUAAAAAGAGAAAAUGGGACCAGGUGGACGGAGGUAAGACCUCUUGUGGCCGACCUGCGUGUUCUAAAUGUGGACGGAACCAUCCCGGUGAGUGCUGGAAGGCCAAGGGAGCUUGUGUUCGUUGUGGCAGCAUGGACCAUGGGGUUCAGAACUGUCCUCGACCGAACCAGAACCAGUCUGGGAGAAGUGGCUAGAUGACCUGUUUCCAUUGUGGCCAGCAAGGACAUUUCCAAUCGGAGUGUCCCAAGCUGCAAGGAAGUCAGCGGAAGGGCCGUGGAGAUUCAGGAAAGGCGUCCCAAGGCAAACCAACCACAACACCGAGAGUGUAUGAACUGUCACGAGAAGACGGAGCUUCCGGAUCCUUUGAUUCGAUCUCUGGUAAUUUCUAAAUUUAUCUUUUUACAUUCAAGUAGUAAUGCUUGGUCUGGAACCUAGAAUGUGGUCUAGGGGAUUCUGAUGGGGGUCUCUGAUAGGAACCCUCAUGGUCGGUGGGGUAAAAACCCACGUGCUUUUCGACACAGGGGCUACACAUAGUUUUGUGAGUCCGGAAUUGGUCGGAGAGGGUCUGUUAUGUCUGGAUGCUGGUGAUAAUUUUGGGAUAGUGAGGGCGGCCGGUGGGCAAGCCAUGAACUCACUAGGUCUCAUGUCAAAUAUCCCAGUACAGAUCGAGGGAAAGGUCUUCCUUGUGAAUCUGGUCUGUGUCCACCUAAAGAAUCAAAAAGUGAUCUUAGGUACGGAUUGGUUGGGAAAGUACCAAGCCACUCUCGAUUGCCAUAAGGGUCGUGUGCAAUUGGAGAAUGGACUUCACCCGGUAGAGUACCAAGGUCUGUGUCAGGCUCAAGAGAAAGUAGUGGUUUCAGCAGUUCCAGCGAUUCAGACGCUGGAACAGGGUUGUCAGUCAUUCUUGGCUACAAUUACAACUGUAGAGCCUAACAGUUCUGGUUUUCUGUUAGACCCACGCGGGGAUUCGUUGGUGUCCGAGUUCCAGGAUGUGUUUCAGUCGCUACAGGGUGUCCCCCCUGAUAGGUCCGAUCCUUUCCUGAUUGAACUGGAACCAGGGACAGCUCCGCUGUCCAAGGGUCCGUAUCGAAUGGCUCCGGCCGAGAUGGCCGAGCUGAAGAAGCAAUUGGAAGAAUUGCUUGACAAGGGGUUCAUACGGCCAAGUAGCUCCCCUUGGGGUGCACCAGUCCUUUUUGAGAAAAAGAAGGAUGGUAGCAUGCGUCUGUGCAUAGACUAUCGAGGGUUGAACAGGGUAACUGUGAAGAACAAGUAUCCGUUGCCCAGGAUAGACGAGCUGUUGGGUCAGCUGAAAGGAGCUAGUGGUUUUCAAAAAUCGAUUUGGCCUCGGGAUAUCAUCAGAUACCUAUAGAGCCAAAUGUGAAGAUGUAAGAUGUCCGCCCUGAAGUAGUCGCUGACGUAGUUGCUGAAGUAGACGUCAUAGUGAGUGGUGAAGACCAUGUGGAGUCAAGGUGCUGAGCUGGAGUCGUGUAGACUUGGAGAGCAAGGGAGUAUCUUGGAGAUAUGGAAAGAUGGAUGCAGCUCUGUUAGGAGUGAUCUUCAGGAAGAUCAAGAAGCAUCAAGCAUGGAGUCAGGACACGGAGUUGUCUGUGACACAAAGGGGAAGGAGAUCGAAGUGCGUUAGGAAGUAGUGCGAGAUGAUCUUCAGGGGUGUGAAAUCACUCCAAGACAAUAUCAAUGAGUGCAGAAGGCACUCGGUGCAGAUGGGGAAGGGCUCAUGGUCAAGGAGACGACACAUGAAGGAAGCCUGGUCCUCAACAGAAGUGGGUCGAGAGGUAGCUCGACAGGUGCGUCAGAUCGUGAUGCAGUACUUGUUAUUCCGCUGCAGCAGGGGCUGUGUCAUGAUUAUACAUGAAGAAACAGACGGUGGGUCUGUAACGCUUGACAUCUAAGCAUCUGUUUUAGCUUAGUAUGCAAUCAAGCAGGGGGAGAAUGGUGAUGUUCUGGUCCUUAGUAUGCAUAUCUCAUGGGGGAGAAAAGCAUGGUCUGGUGCACAUCUCGUGGGGGAGAAAAGCACAUUUGGUAUGGAAGUUUCCAGGUGAGGAACGUGGUUGCAACGUGGUUGCUAAACCAGAAGAUUGUUGUGCUUGAUCGGCACACAAAGCUAAAAGGGGGAGAUUGAAGAUGUAAGAUGUCCGGCCUGACAUAGUUGCUGAAGCAGACGUCGUAGUGAAUGGUGAAGACCAUGUGGAGUCAAGAUGCUGAGCUGGAGUCGUGUAGACUUGGAGAGCAAGGGAGUAUCUUGGAGAUAUGGAAAGAGGAAUAAACUUGAGGAGCAAGUUUAUGACUUAAAGAAAGAGGAAUAAGUGCAUUCCAAGAAAAGGAAAGUUGCACUUAUUGUUAUGGAAGAUGUCCAUACAUGUUGCCUUGGAGACUAGGGUUUCAAGAACGUGGAGAAUAACUAUAAGAUAACUAUGGGGUCGUCUGUAUAGAGACAGACACACGGAGGCUGAUCUUAUAUAGAGAGAGAAGCUCUUGGAGGUGUUCUUGGGUCGUGCUGAAGCAGUGGCUGAAGUACUUGACGGAGAAGAGAUAUAAGUGGGUAGCUUAGGAAUCUUUCAGUAGCGUGUGUUAGGGUGUUAACACUGACGUGUAAAAGCUGAAUAAGCAAGUCUUGUAAAGAUUGUUUAAAGGAGAUUCUAAUAAAAGCUUUGGUGUGCUUGUGUGAUUUGUCUCUUUGAUUUACCUUCUGCAUUACCUAUUGUUGUGUCAUCUUGCACUAACAAGUGGUAUCAGAGCGGGGCACCUAAGUUAUCGGUGUAAUCCUGAAGGUGAAGAUCGACACGAUUAUUUCUAUGCAGAAGGAAAUCGUGUUGAAUGCGGACCAGUAUGGUCAUUGGAAGGCUUGCAUGAAGCAGAUGAUUCGAGGAAUCAAUGAAGAUGCGUGGACAGCUGUGGAGAUUGGUUGGGAGGAGCCUACCAUAGUCACAGUAGGUGAGAAGAAGCCUAAGCCAAAAGAGGAUUGGUCAGAGGCAGAACACAAUGCAUCAAAAUUUAAUGCAAAGGCAUUGUCGGUGAUUUUUGGAGCUGUUGAAGCAGAGCAGUUUCAGCUGAUUCAGGGGAGUACUUUGGCUAAAGAGGCGUGGGAGAUCCUGCUGAAUUCAUUUGAAGGAGAUGAGAGUGUCAAGAGGACACGUCUAGAUCAUCUUGGGUCGCAGUUUAAGAAUCUCAGGUGGUCUGAUAAUGAUUCUGUGGCGAGUUUUAGUGCCAAACUCAGUGGUAUGGCGCAUGAAGCAUUUGUACUUGGGAAGAAGUACAAGGAGAAGAAGCUGGUAAAGAAGUUACUACGCUGUCUUCAAACGAAGUUUAGAGCUCACAAGGCGGUCUUACAGAUGACUACAAACACGGAUGAGCUCAAGUUUGACAAGCUUGUGGGUAUGCUGAAGGCACAAGAGAUGGAGACAGACAGUAGUUCAGUCUCUACGUCAGGUGGUGCAUCAAGGAGUAUAGCUCUUGCUGCUGAUAAAGAUGGAGAUAGAUCUCCAAAUGUUGAAGAUGCCAUGGGGAUGUUGGCUAGGAAUCUGAGUAAGAUGAUGAAUUCCUCUGGUGAGAGGAAUCUGUAUGGUCGUCAGGGAGGUGAUCGUGGCAAUAGCAGAAGAAGAGAACGUCUUAAAUGUUAUGAGUGUGAAGGUGUUGGUCAUAUAAAGGCUGACUGUCCUAUAGCACAACGAAGAGAACUUAAGUGUUCUGAGUGCAGAUGUGUUGGACACACACGGCGUGAAUGUCCAAACUCAAAGAAGGAGAAAGGAGUUCCAUUGCAGUCGUCUGAUGAUUCAGAGUCUGAAGAAGAUGGAAAGGUGAUGAAGAAUAUGGUUGCAUUUGGUGCACGCAGGGAGAAAUCCAUUGAAUCCUCGGAUUCAGAAGUCAGUACAGACUUUGAGGAUUAUCAAGUAAUGCACAACAAGUGGUUGAAUCUCAAGAAUCAGAAUCUGAGGUUGCAACAUGAUUUGGUGCAGAGCCGUGAACAGUAUGAUGAUCUUGCUGAAGAACUUGCUGCUGUAAAUGAGAAUUAUGAGUCUCUGGAGAAGGAGGUUAGCAAACUGAGAGAGGUUGCUACUGAUGAACGUGAGAGAGCAAUGAGGCUGGAACGUGAUUUGGCUGAGAAUCGCAAACAGAUCAGGAUGCUCAACAGUGGAUGCAAAGAGUUGGAUAAGAUACUCUCGAUGGGUCAACCAGCCAAGGCGAAGUGGGGCCUAGGAAAUCGAGGAGCUGAGAGUACUAAGGAAGUACAACAUAAGGGGUUGCCACGUUUCGUGCAUGGGAGCACAUCAGAAAAUGGAGCCAAAGGAGCUUGUCAGGAAUUACGUCGGGACAUACGACAGGGAGUAAGGCAGGAAGUUCUGCAGCGCGUAGCUGUGAGUAACAAGCCAAAAGUAGUACAUCAGUGCAAUAACAUGAAGGUCAGACAGGAGGUUCUGAAGCAUGGUUAUGCAGCUGGUACAAGGAAGGAGACUGAUCGGUGCAUCAGCAACUGUGUCAGGCCAAGCAAGAAGCAGCAUCGAAUGUGCUGUUGGUUCUGUGGGAAGGUUGUACACAAGAAGGUGGAGUGUUUUGCUCGUGAGAAGAGCAGAAACAUGGUCAAGAAGGUGAACAAGACGUUCACUAGGCCUAGGAGGGUUGAAAAGGUGUCUUUAGCCAAGAGUGGCUUACUUGAUGAGAUCAAGGAUGAGACAUCAGAAGAUGGAUGCAGCUCUGUUAGGAGUGAUCUUCAGGAAGAUCAAGAAGCAUCAAGCAUGGAGUCAGGACACGGAGUUGUCUGUGACACAAAGGGGAAGGAGAUCGAAGUGCGUUAGGAAGUAGUGCGAGAUGAUCUUCAGGGGUGUGAAAUCACUCCAAGACAAUAUCAAUGAGUGCAGAGGGCACUCGGUGCAGAUGGGGAAGGGCUCAUGGUCAAGGAGACAACACAUGAAGGAAGCCUGGUCCUGAACAGAAGUGGGUCGAGAGGUAGCUCGACAGGUGCGUCAGAUCGUGAUGCAGUACUUGUUAUUCCGCUGCAGCAGGGGCUGUGUCAUGAUUAUACAUGAAGAAACAGACGGUGGGUCUGUAACGCUUGACAUCUAAGCAUCUGUUUUAGCUUAGUAUGCAAUCAAGCAGGGGGAGAAUGGUGAUGUUCUGGUCCUUAGUAUGCAUAUCUCAUGGGGGAGAAAAGCAUGGUCUGGUGCACAUCUCGUGGGGGAGAAAAGCACAUUUGGUAUGGAAGUUUCCAGGGGAGGAACGUGGUUGCAACGUGGUUGCUAAACCAGAAGAUUGUUGUGCUUGAUCGGCACACAAAGCUAAAAGGGGGAGAUUGAAGAUGUAAGAUGUCCGGCCUGACAUAGUUGCUGAAGCAGACGUCGUAGUGAAUGGUGAAGACCAUGUGGAGUCAAGAUGCUGAGCUGGAGUCGUGUAGACUUGGAGAGCAAGGGAGUAUCUUGGAGAUAUGGAAAGAGGAAUAAACUUGAGGAGCAAGUUUAUGACUUAAAGAAAGAGGAAUAAGUGCAUUCCAAGAAAAGGAAAGUUGCACUUAUUGUUAUGGAAGAUGUCCAUACAUGUUGCCUUGGAGACUAGGGUUUCAAGAACGUGGAGAAUAACUAUAAGAUAGCUAUGGGUCUGUAUAGAGAUUGAGACACGGAGGCUGAUCUUAUAGAGAGAGAAGCUCUUGGAGGUGUUCUUGGGUCAUGCUGAAGUAGUGGCUGAAGUACUUGACGGAGAAGAGACAUAAGUGGGUAGCUUAGGAAUCUUUCAGUAGCGUGUGUUAGGGUGUUAACAUUGAUGUGUAAAAGCUGAAUAAGCAAGUCUUGUAAAGAUUGUUUAAAGGAGAUUCUAAUAAAAGCUUUGGUGUGCUUGUGUGAUUUGUCUCUUUGAUUUACCUUCUGCAUUACCUAUUGUUGUGUCAUCUUGCACUAACAAAAUGACAUUAGGAAAACAACAUUUAGGACCAGGUACGGCCAUUACGAAUUUGUAGUGAUGUCGUUCGGUCUGACCAAUGCACCUGCUGCAUUCAUUAAAAUGAUGAACAGCGUGUUUCGGGACUUCUUGGAUGAAUCAGUGAUCAUCUUCAUUGAUGAUAUCCUGAUUUACUCCAAGGAUGAGGAAUCUCAUUGGAAACAUUUGAGAGCCGUGCUGGAACGAUUACGAGAGCACAAACUCUUUGCUAAACUCAGCAAGUGCAGUUUUUGGCAAAAGAGUAUUGGGUUCCUCGGUCAUAUUGUCUCUGACCAGGGCGUCUCAGUGGAUCCAGAGAAGAUCAAGGCAAUCAAGGAUUGGCCUCGACCACGUAGUGCCACGGAAGUUAGAAGCUUCCUAGGGCUGGCAGGUUACUAUAGAAAGUUUGUGAAGGGAUUCACAAGCUUAGCUCAGCCGAUGACCCGGUUGACUGGGAAGGACGUUAAGUUCACAUGGUCUGACGAGUGUACGAGAUGUUUCUCUGCACUUAAGGAUAUGUUAACUAGUGCACCCGUCCUGGUUCUCCCGGAGGCAGACCAACCUUAUGUGGUCUACACGGAUGCGUCCAUCACUGGACUCGGUUGCAUGUUGACCCAACAUGGGAAGGUCAUUGCUUACGCGUCAAGGCAGCUGAAAAAACAUGAGGGAAAGUACCCCACCCAUGACCUUGAAAUGGUUGCGGUAGUGUUCGCCUUAAAGAUUUGGCGAUCAUAUUUAUAUGGGGCCAAAGUCCAGAUACUUACGGACCAUAAAAGUCUGAAGUAUAUAUUCACCCAGCCUGAGUUGAACUUAAGGCAGAGGAGGUGGAUGGAAUUCGUGGCCGGCUACGACCUAGACAACACUUACUAUCCAGGCAAGGCCAACCUUAUGGCUGACGCCUUGAGCCGGAAACGAGAAGAUGUUGCGGCUGGUAGCGGAACGGACGAGCCGGAUGAGGAGGGAUGUUUCGUCCGUUUAAAUGUUUUGAACGGGACGGACGGACCACAGGGUUUAGAGGCGGUGAAUAGAGCCGACCUGCUUACCCGGAUCCGAGCGACCCAAGAUCAGGACAAGAACCUGAAGACGGUUGCUCGGAACGACCUGACUGAGUAUCAAAUCGCCAAGGACGGUACGAUCUUAGUUCAUGGUCGGAUCAGCGUACCCAAUGAUAGGAGUUUAAAGGACAAGAUCCUUAGAGAAGCUCACAAAUCUAGAUUCUCGAUCCAUCCUGGAGUGACCAAGAUGUAUCAUAAUCUCAGACAGUACUAUCAUUGGAUACAGAUGAAGGUCGAUGUGGCCGAAUGAGUGGCCAAAUGUCCUACUUGUCAACUCGUCAGGGCCGAACAACAAGUUCCGAGUGGACUGCUUCAGAGCCUACAUAUUCCGGAAUGGAAGUGGGAUCACAUCACAAUGGACUUCGUGACAGGAUUUCCCACGACCAGGAAUAGGAAUGAUGCUGUCUGGGUAAUAGUGGAUCGACUAACCAAGUCUGCCCACUUCCUGGCCAUCAAAAAGACUGAUGGAGUCGACCGGAUUGUGAGUAAGUACAUUGACGAGAUUGUGAGGCUACACAGAGUACGCUCAAGUAUAGUUUCGGAUAGAGAUUCGAGGUUCACAUCUCACUCUGGCAAGCUUUUCAAAAAGCUUUAGGAAAAAGAGUGAACAUGAGUACGGCUUAUCAUCCCCAAACGGAUGGGCAGUCGGAAAGAACUAUACGGACGCUGGAGGACAUGCUUCGAGCAUGUGUUCUGGAUUGGGAUGAUUCCUGGGAACGGCAUUUGCCAUUAGUGGAGUUCGCCUACAAUAACAGCUUCCACUCAAGUAUAGGCAUGUCGCCAUACGAAGCUGUGUAUGAACGACCAUGCAGGACACCGUUAUGCUGGACCCAAGUGGGGGAACGUAGCAUGAUAGGCCCCAAGAUCGUGGAGGAAACCACAGAGAAGAUCAAGUCCGUGCGGGACAAGAUGAGGGCCGCACAGGAUAGACAAAAGCACUACGCUGACAAACGAAGGAAAGAACUGGAGUUUGCAGUGGGUGAUAUGGUCUAUCUCAAAAUGAUUACCUUUAAAGGUAGAGUGCGAAUUUCUGGUAGAAGGAAAUUGGAUCCAAGAUACCUAGGGCCGUUCAGUGUCAUAGAACGAGUGGGUAGUGUGGCAUACAAGUUGGACUUACCAUCUGAGAUGGAAGCCUUUCAUAAUGUAUUCCAUAUCUCCCAACUCCGGAAGUGCUUGACGGAUAAGGACAUCUUAAUACCAGAAAUACCAUCUGAUCUAGGUACGAACCUAACUUUGGAAACAAGGCCGGUUCGGAUCGUAGAUAGGAUGGAAAAACCAAUGAGAAAGAAAACAAUCCAGAUGGUCAAGGUCAUUUGGGAUUGUAAUGGUCGAGAAGAGACCACUUGGGAGACGGAGGCCAGGAUGAAGGCCGAGUUUCCAAAUUGGUUCGACCAGUUUGUGUUGGAUGAAACACAUGACUCGGAUUCGAGGACGAAUCCAUUGCUAGUGGUGGAGACUUGAAACAUCCCGGAUCCUGAAUAGGAUCAUUGGGACGGCCUUGGUUCGAGGAAACGUACUAGUCAGUCUUAAGACAUCAAGGCAAGCGUUCCAUGGCCGGAUAAGAAGGUUAAGGACGUAAGAAACUUAGACUUAACCUUACACAAGUCGAGAGUCAGCUAGACCGAGCAGGACGGUAGCUGGAAGAAUGGAACGGGUAGCUCAACCAGCUCAACGGAGUUAGGUUAAGCUCACUCCAGCUCGAACACUACAAGGUCAGCUCCACUAGCUGGACUACUAGCUCACUCAGCUGAGGCAGCUGGGGGUCAGCUUAUCUCAGCUGGACGGACUGUUCGGGUUUCGGUCCGAUGGUCCGGGUCCGGGCCGGUGGCAGGCCAUGGGGGUCUGGCCAUGAGGUCAUGGACCGUUGGGGCUUGGGACAAGGCCGUGGGCUAAGUCCAGAAGAUUUGGGUAAGGCUUUGGGCCUCUGUCCGAUCCAAACCCAUGCGGUAUUGGCGAAGGGACGCAUGCGGCCGAGAGGGUAUAACCCUUGGCCGAUUGUGCUCAUCCGCUGGCCAGUCAUGCCUGUUCGUGGGGCAAGACUUACCCCCUCGUUUUCUAUAAAUAUGGGGUCCUCUCUGUCGAUUUCAUUCAUCCAAUCCAGAGUAGAAUACUCAGAGAAAUCGUAGAGAGAGAGAAAGAAAGAGAGAGAGAGUGUCCGGCCAAAGCAAGGCCGAUUGUGCGGUAAUUAGGUUUCCGGCGAUCUGAUCGUUUGUGAAGCAACCUCCGAUCAAGUAUGGGAGACCGAGAGCAGGAGAAGAGCGUGGAGAACCCUGACCUGGUUGAGAAGGUACGUGGUGGGCUUUGGCCGCACCAGUCCGAAUGGACGGUCCUUGUGACCGCACCGCGGCUCUGGACGAUUCAUUAGACCCGGCCGCUUCUCCUCUUCUUGUUUCUAUCCGGUCCUUUCUCUUUUUUCUGAUUAUGCACGAAGGGUUGUGUUGGUUCAGUCCAAGGGACGCGUUCCUAGACUGGCCGGACAUAACCAAACCGCUAACCUAGAUGCUGGUCGAUUAGACGGUCGGUUCGAAUCGCACCAUAGACUGGGCGGUUGGACUAAACGGUUGGGCAUGUCCCAAGAGGCACGAGUGGCCAAAUGUCACGAGUUACCAACGGUUGUGAGUUGCCAAAGGGUGUAAGUAACCAAGGGUUACGAACGCCAAGUGGUACGAGCACCAAGUUGUACGAGGACCAAGAGGUACUAACGGCCAAAGGGGUGCGUGUACCAAGUGGUUCCUGUUGAGGCAGGUCAUGUCCGUUCCUUAGGGAUCAGACCAUGUUUUGUCCGUUGAGACAAGUACACGGUCCGUCCAGGCCAGGGUAAGAGUCGCAAGGUCCGAGCGGCCAUUGGCCUGACCGGAUUGUGCGUGAUGCUUACUCGGCCGUUGGAUCCAGGCCCAAGGCUGGAUAAGGUAAGGAAGUCCGUUGGGCCAUUGAGCCAGACUUAAUCUAGGCCGGUCGCACCUAGAUUCUAUCCGGAUGGACGGAUUGGUCUUCGGGACGAUCCGGAUUGUUCGUGUGUUCUGUUUAUCUAUUCUAGGUUGUCUAUCUGAUUCUAAGUCAAGGGGUGGUUGGUUGAAUGACUUAGGAUUCGGUAGGCAGGUUCAUAUCUUUUUAUAAGUAUAUUGUGGUUACCUGGUUGUGGUUUCAGGAACUAAGGAUGGUUCUGGUCAAGCCAAGGAGCCGUGAAGGCUCGGUCAGUGAGAGGCUGUGUAACGUGUGGUUAGAUGAUGCUAGGGACGAACUAGUGAUUGUCUAUGAAACUGUUAAGAAGUUGUGUAUUGGAUCUCAUGUUUCUAAGUAAUACAAAGUUUACACAUUGUUAUUCCGCUGUUCUAUCUGUUCAAUUGAUUUAGAACCUCAGAUUUGAACAUGACUUAGUAAAUGAAAGAAAUUGAUUAUGUAGCAAACGGGUUCAGUCUUGUCGAGAGGCCAGAUUCGGGCAUUACAGCCACGGACGUCCUGUGUGUGCUGACGGACACACACGGACAGCCACAGACGUCCUGUGUGUGCUGACGGACACACACGGACGUCCUGUGUGUGCUGACGGACACCCACGGACGUCAUGUGUGUGCUGACGGACACACACGGACAGCCACGGACGUCUUGUGUGUGCUGACGGACAGCCACAGACAGCCACAGAUGUCCUAUGUGUGCUGGCGGACACCCACGGACGUCCUCUGUGUACCGAACAAACAGCCCAUAUAGGCAAAAAUCACCCGAACAGUCCACGGGAAGUGAUAGACCGCGGUCCACGGAUCAGUACAUGGAGCCAAACCAGCAUGAAGUACAGGACGUUCUGAAGUUUUCAACCGAGGUUCAUCAUUUUCACCAUACUGGCCAGACUGACCGGACUGUCCCAAAUGCAUCCGGAUGUGAGCUUUGGCUGGAACCAUGGCCAGGUGAUCGAUUUCAUUGUACUGGACUUUGUCUUCAUCGUCCUGUUUUCCAUUUGAUGAAGAACAGUCGAGACGGAAUCGCAUUCGGACGCACGGAUCCUGAGUUAGGUCAUUCCUAUACAUUUCUGGACAGUACCACAUGUACCGCCCGGAUGUCCAGUUUGAGGCUUCAUCAAUACCCAUGUCCAGACGAUCGAAUUCACCGAACUGGAGCUCGUAUUUCCCGUACUGAUUGGCAUUUUAAGAGCAACGGUCGAGACAGAUUUGGAUUCGGACGAGUGGAAUUCAAGAUAAGCCGUGACACUUCAAAACUGGCUACUUUGGACUGUCCUGCUUGUGUACUGGCCCAGUCCGCAGGACAUGCUUCAGGAAGCAAUGAACCUGGACGGAAUUUGAAGGGUUUUUAACUAGUCAAAGUGUGAUUUCGUGCCUUGACCAGAUCUGGUCAAUUUUAUCAUUUUCUAUUUUUAGAUUUACCACAUUUUUCUUUAAGUCUUUUGACUAGAACUUCUAUAUAAUGUAACCAUCAGAUCUGAAUAAGAUAAUUUUCGUUUUGCUUUCAUUCUUUUAAGUUUUUACUCUCUUUGUUCUUUGUUAGAACAUUUCUUAGUUUUUUGGUGAGGUUAUCUCCAAGUUUCGAUCCUUCUUUUGUUGGACCGGUGCGUCACAUCCGGCAACGAUCGAAGUCUGGUAGUAUCAUUGGGUCAUCCGCAACCCUUUGUGUCACCGUUCAUACCAUCAGUUCUCUUUCCUUACGGAUCGAUUUCAUAUCUUUCCAAUCCGGUUGAGUGUUCGUUCCUUAGGGUUCUUCAAGUGGUUUCAGAGCCACUCUUCCGGUAUUGUCUAUUUCAUUCAUCUUUCUCAUCUUCCAUUUUCUUAUAAAAACUUUUUCUUCUACCUUUCUUAAAUCCAGACCCCUCAUUACCAUCCACCAUAUCAAAAAAAAAAAGAUCUAAUAAAAAAAAAAAAGAAAGAAAGAUCCACAUAAAAAAAAAAAAUAGAAAUCGAAAGUUUCAUUUGGGGAUUGGUGGUGGAAGAGAAAGCCUGCUGGCUGAGUAGAAAUCCAGCCUUUGAGGUGGUUAAAACGGAUUUAAAAAAAUCAAAAAUCUCUUAUCUAUCUAUCUUGAGAAAAUUCCCUUGUUAGCUUGGAUUUGCCCAUUGGGAUUCUUUGAUUUGUUCUCUGAGAACAUUGAGUAGAAACUUGUGUGGGUGAGGAUCAAACACUUGAGAGUGUGAGGUUUUUAUCUACUAACUUUUGUGUUGAGAUUUUUCAGGUUUAUGAUGUUUGGUCUCCAAAGGAAAAGUAACAAGGAGAAGCACCCACGACUUUCUGUCUCUCAAACCUCCUUUAAAUAUGCUUUGAAUACUUUUGAUGAGUUUGUUGAUGUGCAGAAAAAACCAAUUUGGUGGAGCAAAGAGCAUGUCAAUACCUCCAAAGAUGUGGCUGAUCCAAAAAGGCAACAUUUUCAGUUUGAUGUCCAACAAUUUUGUGAUAACUUUGUGAAGGGUGUGGACAAAACCCUCAAGGACGUCAGCAAGAGCCAAAAGAAGAGCACAUCCAUACGUGCCCAAGUAGCUGAGCCAUCCUUUUCCAUCAGUAAGAAAACCCAAGGUGAAUCUGAAAACUGUUUUGAAGAAUUUAAAGAUUUUUCAGAUUCUUCACCUAUAUUUGAUGAAACUGAUGAAGAACCAAUUGAAAGUUUGAUGUCUUGUGAAGAAAGUUGUGACCUUCCUUAUCUUGAAUCUGAGUUUAUAAAUGAUAAUGAACAGGCUAAUGUAGAACUAACUAUUUUGCAACCGGAGCAUCCGAGUAGCCUUGUUUUGUCUCAACAGGUUUUUGAGGAAGAGCCACUGGAUAUUCAACAUCAGUGCCCAUGUCUUGACAUUUGGACAUCUUUGGAUGAAGUCCCAGAACCUAUCUUUGAUGAGGAGGACGAACCUGAUCCAGUCUUUGAUGAAGAAGCAACAAGCAUCAUAUCCACCUUUAUGGAGAGCCAUCUUUGCUUUGAUUCCGGCACAACUACUGCUCCUUCAUCUCCUGCCCCUUUGCUUCAUGAUCUUCAAGAGCACUGUCAGGAACCUUCUUCUCUUAGUUCUCUGCCUGACAUGGUUGUGAAAGUCAGUACUGAUGAUGUAACUCGUUUUAGUCUUGAACUUUUGAUAAAUGAUUCUCAAACUGAACUUCAGCUUGUGUGUUCAGAUGUUGGGAAGGAUAUGCCCAUUUUGAAAAUGAAUACUGUUGUUGCAUAUCUUGAUAAAAUUAUUGUCUGUAAUAUUUACUUUGAUGAGCACCCUGAAAGGCUGAAAAAUGUGCAAUUUGUUCUUGGAAAAGAUAUCUUGAUUUGUGAUUUGAACAAAUAUUUAUCUUGCACAUUUGAUCCUGGUCUUUUAGUGUUUGUUUUGAGUAUCCACGAAAGACAGGUUCAGCCUCUGAAUGAAAGAAUUGGCCGUGCCCAACAACCUCAGAUUUGGAGAAGCUUUGUUGUUCAAACCGGCUACCUUGGUGCCAGCGACAGAGGUUCAGUCCAAGAAGGAUAUCUCAACAGUCCGAAUGUAUUUUGUCUUGAAUCAAAUUUUACAAGAAAGACAACUCAUCAAGGAUUCACUGAGGCUUGGAAACGCAUGAAAAGCUUCACGGAUGAAGAAGUUAUGAAUUUUCCAAACCGGAGGUUCUUCAGUCCAUCUAUCCGCGAGUACCAGAUUUCUAAAGGAGAUUCAUGCCCCAGAAAGAAUCGACCUGAGCCAAAACCGAUCCUCCAUGAACCAAAGGUGUUUCCUCGGUCAUUCUCCUGUCUAAACCAAAAGCACUUUGCUUUGAAUAAACAGGAUAAGCAUGAUCAGUUUCUAAGGAGAUCAAGCACCAAUGGACCCCAAAGUACUUGGAAUUCCUUGAUAAAAAUGACUUCAAAACUCCAAGGAAGUUUCUGUCCAUUAUAUUCAUUUACUGAAUUUCCCUUGAAUUUUAAUUCCUUUGUAUCUGACUUAUCUCUUUUUGAUAUAAGUACAUUGGAUUUGAGGACAAAUCCUUUUGAAGAAAGAGGGAAUGAUAGACCGUGGUCCACGGAUCAGUACAUGGAGCCGAACCAGCAUGAAGUUCAGGACGUUCUGAAGUUUUCAACCGAGGUUCAUCAUUUUCACCAUACUGGCCAGACUGACCGGACUGUCCCAAAUGCAUCCGGAUGUGAGCUUUGGCUGGAACCAUGGCCAGAUGAUCGAUUUCAUUGUACUGGACUUUGUCUUCAUCGUCCUGUUUUCCAUUUGAUGAAGAACAGUCGAGACGAAAUCGCAUUCGGACGCACGGAUCCUGAGUUAGGUCAUUGCUAUACAUUUCUGGACAGUACCACAUGUACCGCCCGGAUGUCCAGUUUGAGGCUUCAUCAAUACCCAUGUCCAGACGAUCGAAUUCACCGAACUGGAGCUCGUAUUUCCCGUACUGAUUGGCAUUUUAAGAGCAACGGUCGAGACAGAUUUGGAUUCGGACGAGUGGAACUCAAGAUAGGCCGUGACACUUCAAAACUGGCUACUUUGGACUGUCCUGCUUGUGUACUGGCCCAGUCCGCAGGACAUGCUUCAGGAAGCAAUGAACCUGGACGGAAUUUGAAGGGUUUUUAACUAGUCAAAGUGUGAUUUCGUGUCUUGACCAGAUCUGGUCAAUUUUAUCAUUUUCUAUGUUUAGAUUUACCACAUUUUUCUUUAAGUCUUUUGACUAGAACUUCUAUAUAAUGUAACCAUCAGAUCUGAAUAAGAUAAUUUUCGUUUUGCUUUCAUUCUUUUGAGUUUUUACUCUCUUUGUUCUUUGUUAGAACAUUUCUUAGUUUUUUGGUGAGGUUAUCUCCAAGUUUCGAUCCUUCUUUUGUUGGACCGGUGCGUCACAUCCGGCAACGAUCGAAGUCUGGUAGUAUCGUUGGGUCAUCCGCAACCCUUUGUGUCACCGUUCAUACCAUCAGUUCUCUUUCCUUACGGAUCGAGUUCAUAUCUUUCCAAUCCGGUUGAGUGUUCGUUCCUUAGGGUUCUUCAAGUGGUAUCAGAGCCACUCUUCCGGUAUUGUCUAUUUCAUUCUUCUUUCUCAUCUUCCAUUUUCUUAUAAAAACUUCUUCUUCUACCUUUCUUAAAUCCGGGCCCCUCAUUACCAUCCACCAUAUCAAAAAAAAAAAAGAUCUAAUCAAAAAAAAAAAAAAAAGAAAGAUCCACAUAAAAAAAAAAAAUAGAAAUCGAAAGUUUCAUUUGGGGAUUGGUGAUGGAAGAGAAAGCCUGCUGGCUGAGUAGAAAUCCAGCCUUUGAGGUGGUUAAAACGGAUUUAAAAAAAUCAAAAAUCUCUUAUCUAUCUAUCUUGAGAAAAUUCCCUUGUUAGCUUGGAUUUGCCCAUUGGGAUUCUUUGAUUUGUUCUCUCAGAACAUUGAGUAGAAACUUGUGUGUGAUCACCUAAAUCUGAGGUUUUUAUCUACUAAUUUUUGUGUUGAGAUUUUUCAGGUUUAUGAUGUUUGGUCUCCAAAGGAAAAGUAACAAGGAGAAGCACCCACGACUUUUUGUCUCUCAAACCUCCUUUAAAUAUGCUUUGAAUACUUUUGAUGAGAUUGUUGAUGUGCAGCAAAAACCAAUUUGGUGGAGCAAAGAGCAUGUCAAUACCUCCAAAGAUGUGGCUGAUCCAAAAAGGCAACAUUUUCAGUUUGAUGUCCAACAAUUUUGUGAUAACUUUGUGAAGGGUGUGGACAAAGCCCUCAAGGACGUCAGCAAGAGCCAAAAGAAGAGCACAUCCACACGUGCCCAAGUAGCUGAGCCAUCCUUUUCCAUCAGUAAGAAAACCCAAGGUGAAUCUGAAAACUGUUUUGAAGAAUUUAAAGAUUUUUCAGAUUCUUCACCUAUAUUUGAUGAAACUGAUGAAGAACCAAUUGAAAGUUUGAUGUCUUGUGAAGAAAGUUGUGACCUUCCUUAUCUUGAAUCUGAGUUUAUAAAUGAUAAUGAACAGGCUAAUGUAGAACUAACUAUUUUGCAACCGGAGCAUCCGAGUAGCCUUGUUUUGUCUCAACAGGUUUUUGAGGAAGAGCCACUGGAUAUUCCACAUCAGUGCCCAUGUCUUGACAUUUGGACAUCUUUGGAUGAAGUCCCAGAACCUAUCUUUGAUGAGGAGGACGAACCUGAUCCAGUCUUUGAUGAAGAAGCAACAAGCAUCAUAUCCACCUUUAUGGAGAGCCAUCUUUGCUUUGAUUCCGGCACAACUACUGCUCCUUCAUCUCCUGCCCCUUUGCUUCAUGAUCUUCAAGAGCACUGUGAGGAACCUUCUUCUCUUAGUUCUCUGCCUGACAUGGUUGUGAAAGUCAGUACUGAUGAUGUAACUCGUUUUAGUCUUGACAAGAUGAAAGAUUUUUGUGUUUCAAAAUCUGUUUUUGAUAACAUGAUUAAUUCUUUAAAAAUCUUUGAACCUGAUAAAUGUCUUGAUCAAUCACGUUUUCAAAAUGUCAAUGGCAUUACUUCUGGAAUUAUUUUGAGCUCUGAUCAGUUCUUGGAACAUAACAAAGGUUUUCAUCUUCUUGGAAGGCCUUUGAUCUUGAUUUGCAACAAACUGAUUUUUGUGCUGAAAAAUCUCUUGAUUCGUUAGUUUGCAAAGGAAAUAGCUUUGAUCUGAGUUCUUCUAGACAUGUACUGAUCACUGAUGAAUUGUUUGCAUCCUCUUAUGCCUUGGACGAAAUUUUGAUUCAGAAGUUGUUGGAACAGAAAUCACUUGAAACUGAAAAUGAUUUUCGUGAUCUUGAAUUUUGUGGUUCUGUUUUGCAGCCUGAUCUCUUGAGUUUUGAAACUGAUAAUACUUGGCAUUUUCUGAGAUCAUUUCGUGAUAAUGGUGUUGUCUUGAGUUCUGAUGAUAUUUUGGUUUACAACACAUUCUUUGAGAAAUGCCUUGAACUUUUGAUAAAUGAUUCUCAAACUGAACUUCAGCUUGUGUGUUCAGAUGUUGGGAAGGAUAUGCCCAUUUUGAAAAUGAAUACUGUUGUUGCAUAUCUUGAUAAAAUUAUUGUCUGUAAUAUUUACUUUGAUGAGCACCCUGAAAGGCUGAAAAAUGUGCAAUUUGUUCUUGGAAAAGAUAUCUUGAUUUGUGAUUUGAACAAAUAUUUAUCUUGCACAUUUGAUCCUGGUCUUUUAGUGUUUGUUUUGAGUAUCCAGGAAAGACAGGUUCAGCCUCUGAAUGAAAGAAUUGGCCGUGCCCAACAACCUCAGAUUUGGAGAAGCUUUGUUGUUCAAACCGGCUACCUUGGUGCCAGGGACAGAGGUUCAGUCCAAGAAGGAUAUCUCAACAGUCCGAAGGUAUUUUGUCUUGAAUCCAAUUUUACAAGAAAGCCAACUCAUCAAGGAUUCACUGAGGCUUGGAAACGCAUGAAAAGCUUCACGGAUGAAGAAGUUAUGAAUUUUCCAAACCGGAGGUUCUUCAGUCCAUCUAUCCGCGAGUACCAGAUUUCUAAAGGAGAUUCAUGCCCCAGAAAGAAUCGACCUGAGCCAAAACCGAUCCUCCAUGAACCAAAGGUGUUUCCUCGGUCAUUCUCCUGUCUAAACCAAAAGCACUUUGCUUUGAAUAAACAGGAUAACCAUGAUCAGUUUCUAAGGAGAGGAAGCACCAAUGGACCCCAAAGUACUUGGAAUUCCUUGAUAAAAAUGACUUCAAAACUCCAAGGAAGUUUCUGUCCAUUAUAUUCAUUUACUGAAUUUUCCUUGAAUUUUAAUUCCUUUGUAACUGAUUUAUCUCUUUUUGAUAUAAGUACAUUGGAUUUGAGGACAAAUCCUUUUGAAGAAAGAGGGAAUGAUAGACCGCGGUCCACGGAUCAGUACAUGGAGCCGAACCAGCAUGAAGUUCAGGACGUUCUGAAGUUUUCAACUGAGGUUCAUCAUUUUCACCAUACUGGCCAGACUGACCGGACUGUCCCAAAUGCAUCCGGAUGUGAGCUUUGGCUGGAACCAUGGCCAGAUGAUCGAUUUCAUUGUACUGGACUUUGUCUUCAUCGUCCUGUUUUCCAUUUGAUGAAGAACAGUCGAGACGAAAUCGCAUUCGGACGCACGGAUCCUGAGUUAGGUCAUUGCUAUACAUUUCUGGACAGUACCACAUGUACCGCCCGGAUGUCCAGUUUGAGGCUUCAUCAAUACCCAUGUCCAGACGAUCGAAUUCACCGAACUGGAGCUCGUAUUUCCCGUACUGAUUGGCAUUUUAAGAGCAACGGUCGAGACAGAUUUGGAUUCGGACGAGUGGAACUCAAGAUAGGCCGUGACACUUCAAAACUGGCUACUUUGGACUGUCCUGCUUGUGUACUGGCCCAGUCCGCAGGACAUGCUUCAGGAAGCAAUGAACCUGGACGGAAUUUGAAGGGUUUUUAACUAGUCAAAGUGUGAUUUCGUGUCUUGACCAGAUCUGGUCAAUUUUAUCAUUUUCUAUGUUUAGAUUUACCACAUUUUUCUUUAAGUCUUUUGACUAGAACUUCUAUAUAAUGUAACCAUCAGAUCUGAAUAAGAUAAUUUUCGUUUUGCUUUCAUUCUUUUGAGUUUUUACUCUCUUUGUUCUUUGUUAGAACAUUUCUUAGUUUUUUGGUGAGGUUAUCUCCAAGUUUCGAUCCUUCUUUUGUUGGACCGGUGCGUCACAUCCGGCAACGAUCGAAGUCUGGUAGUAUCAUUGGGUCAUCCGCAACCCUUUGUGUCACCGUUCAUACCAUCAGUUCUCUUUCCUUACGGAUCGAGUUCAUAUCUUUCCAAUCCGGUUGAGUGUUCGUUCCUUAGGGUUCUUCAAGUGGUAUCAGAGCCACUCUUCCGGUAUUGUCUAUUUCAUUCUUCUUUCUCAUCUUCCAUUUUCUUAUAAAAACUUCUUCUUCUACCUUUCUUAAAUCCGGGCCCCUCAUUACCAUCCACCAUAUCAAAAAAAAAAAGAUCUAAUCAAAAAAAAAAAAAAAGAAAGAUCCACAUAAAAAAAAAAAAUAGAAAUCGAAAGUUUCAUUUGGGGAUUGGUGGUGGAAGAGAAAGCCUGCUGGCUGAGUAGAAAUCCAGCCUUUGAGGUGGUUAAAACGGAUUUAAAAAAAUCAAAAAUCUCUUAUCUAUCUAUCUUGAGAAAAUUCCCUUGUUAGCUUGGAUUUGCCCAUUGGGAUUCUUUGAUUUGUUCUCUCAGAACAUUGAGUAGAAACUUGUGUGUGAUCACCUAAAUCUGAGGUUUUUAUCUACUAAUUUUUGUGUUGAGAUUUUUCAGGUUUAUGAUGUUUGGUCUCCAAAGGAAAAGUAACAAGGAGAAGCACCCACGACUUUUUGUCUCUCAAACCUCCUUUAAAUAUGCUUUGAAUACUUUUGAUGAGAUUGUUGAUGUGCAGCAAAAACCAAUUUGGUGGAGCAAAGAGCAUGUCAAUACCUCCAAAGAUGUGGCUGAUCCAAAAAGGCAACAUUUUCAGUUUGAUGUCCAACAAUUUUGUGAUAACUUUGUGAAGGGUGUGGACAAAGCCCUCAAGGACGUCAGCAAGAGCCAAAAGAAGAGCACAUCCACACGUGCCCAAGUAGCUGAGCCAUCCUUUUCCAUCAGUAAGAAAACCCAAGGUGAAUCUGAAAACUGUUUUGAAGAAUUUAAAGAUUUUUCAGAUUCUUCACCUAUAUUUGAUGAAACUGAUGAAGAACCAAUUGAAAGUUUGAUGUCUUGUGAAGAAAGUUGUGACCUUCCUUAUCUUGAAUCUGAGUUUAUAAAUGAUAAUGAACAGGCUAAUGUAGAACUAACUAUUUUGCAACCGGAGCAUCCGAGUAGCCUUGUUUUGUCUCAACAGGUUUUUGAGGAAGAGCCACUGGAUAUUCCACAUCAGUGCCCAUGUCUUGACAUUUGGACAUCUUUGGAUGAAGUCCCAGAACCUAUCUUUGAUGAGGAGGACGAACCUGAUCCAGUCUUUGAUGAAGAAGCAACAAGCAUCAUAUCCACCUUUAUGGAGAGCCAUCUUUGCUUUGAUUCCGGCACAACUACUGCUCCUUCAUCUCCUGCCCCUUUGCUUCAUGAUCUUCAAGAGCACUGUGAGGAACCUUCUUCUCUUAAUUCUCUGCCUGACAUGGUUGUGAAAGUCAGUACUGAUGAUGUAACUCGUUUUAGUCUUGACAAGAUGAAAGAUUUUUGUGUUUCAAAAUCUGUUUUUGAUAACAUGAUUAAUUCUUUAAAAAUCUUUGAACCUGAUAAAUGUCUUGAUCAAUCACGUUUUCAAAAUGUCAAUGGCAUUACUUCUGGAAUUAUUUUGAGCUCUGAUCAGUUCUUGGAACAUAACAAAGGUUUUCAUCUUCUUGGAAGGCCAUUUGAUCUUGAUUUGCAACAAACUGAUUUUUGUGCUGAAAAAUCUCUUGAUUCGUUAGUUUGCAAAGGAAAUAGCUUUGAUCUGAGUUCUUCUAGACAUGUACUGAUCACUGAUGAAUUGUUUGCAUCCUCUUAUGCCUUGGACGAAAUUUUGAUUCAGAAGUUGUUGGAACAGAAAUCACUUGAAACUGAAAAUGAUUUUCGUGAUCUUGAAUUUUGUGGUUCUGUUUUGCAGCCUGAUCUCUUGAGUUUUGAAACUGAUAAUACUUGGCAUUUUCUGAGAUCAUUUCGUGAUAAUGGUGUUGUCUUGAGUUCUGAUGAUAUUUUGGUUUACAACACAUUCUUUGAGAAAUGCCUUGAACUUUUGAUAAAUGAUUCUCAAACUGAACUUCAGCUUGUGUGUUCAGAUGUUGGGAAGGAUAUGCCCAUUUUGAAAAUGAAUACUGUUGUUGCAUAUCUUGAUAAAAUUAUUGUCUGUAAUAUUUACUUUGAUGAGCACCUUGAAAGGCUGAAAAAUGUGCAAUUUGUUCUUGGAAAAGAUAUCUUGAUUUGUGAUUUGAACAAAUAUUUAUCUUGCACAUUUGAUCCUGGUCUUUUAGUGUUUGUUUUGAGUAUCCAGGAAAGACAGGUUCAGCCUCUGAAUGAAAGAAUUGGCCGUGCCCAACAACCUCAGAUUUGGAGAAGCUUUGUUGUUCAAACCGGCUACCUUGGUGCCAGCGACAGAGGUUCAGUCCAAGAAGGAUAUCUCAACAGUCCGAAGGUAUUUUGUCUUGAAUCCAAUUUUACAAGAAAGACAACUCAUCAAGGAUUCACUGAGGCUUGGAAACGCAUGAAAAGCUUCACGGAUGAAGAAGUUAUGAAUUUUCCAAACCGGAGGUUCUUCAGUCCAUCUAUCCGCGAGUACCAGAUUUCUAAAGGAGAUUCAUGCCCCAGAAAGAAUCGACCUGAGCCAAAACCGAUCCUCCAUGAACCAAAGGUGUUUCCUCGGUCAUUCUCCUGUCUAAACCAAAAGCACUUUGCUUUGAAUAAACAGGAUAAGCAUGAUCAGUUUCUAAGGAGAGCAAGCACCAAUGGACCCCAAAGUACUUGGAAUUCCUUGAUAAAAAUGACUUCAAAACUCCAAGGAAGUUUCUGUCCAUUAUAUUCAUUUACUAAUUUCCCUUGAAUUUUAAUUCCUUUGUAUCUGAUUUAUCUCUUUUUGAUAUAGGUACAUUGGAUUUGAGGACAAAUCCUUUUGAAGAAAGAGGGAAUGAUAGACCGCGGUCCACGGAUCAGUACAUGGAGCCGAACCAGCAUGAAGUUCAGGACGUUCUGAAGUUUUCAACCGAGGUUCAUGAUUUUCACCAUACUGGCCAGACUGACCGGACUGUCCCAAAUGCAUCCGGAUGUAAGCUUUGGCUGGAACCAUGGCCAGAUGAUCGAUUUCACUGUACUGGACUUUGUCUUCAUCGUCCUGUUUUCCAUUUGAUGAAGAACAGUCGAGACGGAAUCGCAUUCGGACGCACGGAUCCUGAGUUAGGUCAUUGCUAUACAUUUCUGGACAGUACCACAUGUACCGCCCGGAUGUCCAGUUUGAGGCUUCAUCAAUACCCAUGUCCAGACGAUCGAAUUCACCGAACUGGAGCUCGUAUUUCCCGUACUGAUUGGCAUUUUAAGAGCAACGGUCGAGACAGAUUUGGAUUCGGACGAGUGGAACUCAAGAUAGGCCGUGACACUUCAAAACUGGCUACUUUGGACUGUCCUGCUUGUGUACUGGCCCAGUCCGCAGGACAUGCUUCAGGAAGCAAUGAACCUGGACGGAAUUUGAAGGGUUUUUAACUAGUCAAAGUGUGAUUUCGUGUCUUGACCAGAUCUGGUCAAUUUUAUCAUUUUCUAUGUUUAGAUUUACCACAUUUUUCUUUAAGUCUUUUGACUAGAACUUCUAUAUAAUGUAACCAUCAGAUCUGAAUAAGAUAAUUUUCGUUUUGCUUUCAUUCUUUUGAGUUUUUACUCUCUUUGUUCUUUGUUAGAACAUUUCUUAGUUUUUUGGUGAGGUUAUCUCCAAGUUUCGAUCCUUCUUUUGUUGGACCGGUGCGUCACAUCCGGCAACGAUCGAAGUCUGGUAGUAUCAUUGGGUCAUCCGCAACCCUUUGUGUCACCGUUCAUACCAUCAGUUCUCUUUCCUUACGGAUCGAGUUCAUAUCUUUCCAAUCCGGUUGAGUGUUCGUUCCUUAGGGUUCUUCAAGUGGUAUCAGAGCCACUCUUCCGGUAUUGUCUAUUUCAUUCUUCUUUCUCAUCUUCCAUUUUCUUAUAAAAACUUCUUCUUCUACCUUUCUUAAAUCCGGGCCCCUCAUUACCAUCCACCAUAUCAAAAAAAAAAAGAUCUAAUCAAAAAAAAAAAAAAAGAAAGAUCCACAUAAAAAAAAAAAAUAGAAAUCGAAAGUUUCAUUUGGGGAUUGGUGGUGGAAGAGAAAGCCUGCUGGCUGAGUAGAAAUCCAGCCUUUGAGGUGGUUAAAACGGAUUUAAAAAAAUCAAAAAUCUCUUAUCUAUCUAUCUUGAGAAAAUUCCCUUGUUAGCUUGGAUUUGCCCAUUGGGAUUCUUUGAUUUGUUCUCUCAGAACAUUGAGUAGAAACUUGUGUGUGAUCACCUAAAUCUGAGGUUUUUAUCUACUAAUUUUUGUGUUGAGAUUUUUCAGGUUUAUGAUGUUUGGUCUCCAAAGGAAAAGUAACAAGGAGAAGCACCCACGACUUUUGUCUCUCAAACCUCCUUUAAAUAUGCUUUGAAUACUUUUGAUGAGUUUGUUGAUGUGCAGAAAAAACCAAUUUGGUGGAGCAAAGAGCAUGUCAAUACCUCCAAAGAUGUGGCUGAUCCAAAAAGGCAACAUUUUCAGUUUGAUGUCCAACAAUUUUGUGAUAACUUUGUGAAGGGUGUGGACAAAGCCCUCAAGGACGUCAGCAAGAGCCAAAAGAAGAGCACAUCCACACGUGCCCAAGUAGCUGAGCCAUCCUUUUCCAUCAGUAAGAAAACCCAAGGUGAAUCUGAAAACUGUUUUGAAGAAUUUAAAGAUUUUUCAGAUUCUUCACCUAUAUUUGAUGAAACUGAUGAAGAACCAAUUGAAAGUUUGAUGUCUUGUGAAGAAAGUUGUGACCUUCCUUAUCUUGAAUCUGAGUUUAUAAAUGAUAAUGAACAGGCUAAUGUAGAACUAACUAUUUUGCAACCGGAGCAUCCGAGUAGCCUUGUUUUGUCUCAACAGGUUUUUGAGGAAGAGCCACUGGAUAUUCCACAUCAGUGCCCAUGUCUUGACAUUUGGACAUCUUUGGAUGAAGUCCCAGAACCUAUCUUUGAUGAGGAGGACGAACCUGAUCCAGUCUUUGAUGAAGAAGCAACAAGCAUCAUAUCCACCUUUAUGGAGAGCCAUCUUUGCUUUGAUUCCGGCACAACUACUGCUCCUUCAUCUCCUGCCCCUUUGCUUCAUGAUCUUCAAGAGCACUGUGAGGAACCUUCUUCUCUUAAUUCUCUGCCUGAAAUGGUUGUGAAAGUCAGUACUGAUGAUGUAACUCGUUUUAGUCUUGACAAGAUGAAAGAUUUUUGUGUUUCAAAAUCUGUUUUUGAUAACAUGAUUAAUUCUUUAAAAAUCUUUGAACCUGAUAAAUGUCUUGAUCAAUCACGUUUUCAAAAUGUCAAUGGCAUUACUUCUGGAAUUAUUUUGAGCUCUGAUCAGUUCUUGGAACAUAACAAAGGUUUUCAUCUUCUUGGAAGGCCAUUUGAUCUUGAUUUGCAACAAACUGAUUUUUGUGCUGAAAAAUCUCUUGAUUCGUUAGUUUGCAAAGGAAAUAGCUUUGAUCUGAGUUCUUCUAGACAUGUACUGAUCACUGAUGAAUUGUUUGCAUCCUCUUAUGCCUUGGACGAAAUUUUGAUUCAGAAGUUGUUGGAACAGAAAUCACUUGAAACUGAAAAUGAUUUUCGUGAUCUUGAAUUUUGUGGUUCUGUUUUGCAGCCUGAUCUCUUGAGUUUUGAAACUGAUAAUACUUGGCAUUUUCUGAGAUCAUUUCGUGAUAAUGGUGUUGUCUUGAGUUCUGAUGAUAUUUUGGUUUACAACACAUUCUUUGAGAAAUGCCUUGAACUUUUGAUAAAUGAUUCUCAAACUGAACUUCAGCUUGUGUGUUCAGAUGUUGGGAAGGAUAUGCCCAUUUUGAAAAUGAAUACUGUUGUUGCAUAUCUUGAUAAAAUUAUUGUCUGUAAUAUUUACUUUGAUGAGCACCUUGAAAGGCUGAAAAAUGUGCAAUUUGUUCUUGGAAAAGAUAUCUUGAUUUGUGAUUUGAACAAAUAUUUAUCUUGCACAUUUGAUCCUGGUCUUUUAGUGUUUGUUUUGAGUAUCCAGGAAAGACAGGUUCAGCCUCUGAAUGAAAGAAUUGGCCGUGCCCAACAACCUCAGAUUUGGAGAAGCUUUGUUGUUCAAACCGGCUACCUUGGUGCCAGCGACAGAGGUUCAGUCCAAGAAGGAUAUCUCAACAGUCCGAAGGUAUUUUGUCUUGAAUCCAACUUUACAAGAAAGACAACUCAUCAAGGAUUCACUGAGGCUUGGAAACGCAUGAAAAGCUUCACGGAUGAAGAAGUUAUGAAUUUUCCAAACCGGAGGUUCUUCAGUCCAUCUAUCCGCGAGUACCAGAUUUCUAAAGGAGAUUCAUGCCCCAGAAAGAAUCGACCUGAGCCAAAACCGAUCCUCCAUGAACCAAAGGUGUUUCCUCGGUCAUUCUCCUGUCUAAACCAAAAGCACUUUGCUUUGAAUAAACAGGAUAAGCAUGAUCAGUUUCUAAGGAGAGCAAGCACCAAUGGACCCCAAAGUACUUGGAAUUCCUUGAUAAAAAUGACUUCAAAACUCCAAGGAAGUUUCUGUCCAUUAUAUUCAUUUACUUAAUUUCCCUUGAAUUUUAAUUCCUUUGUAUCUGAUUUAUCUCUUUUUGAUAUAGGUACAUUGGAUUUGAGGACAAAUCCUUUUGAAGAAAGAGGGAAUGAUAGACCGCGGUCCACGGAUCAGUACAUGGAGCCGAACCAGCAUGAAGUUCAGGAUGUUCUGAAGUUUUCAACCGAGGUUCAUGAUUUUCACCAUACUGGCCAGACUGACCGGACUGUCCCAAAUGCAUCCGGAUGUAAGCUUUGGCUGGAACCAUGGCCAGAUGAUCGAUUUCACUGUACUGGACUUUGUCUUCAUCGUCCUGUUUUCCAUUUGAUGAAGAACAGUCGAGACGGAAUCGCAUUCGGACGCACGGAUCCUGAGUUAGGUCAUUGCUAUACAUUUCUGGACAGUACCACAUGUACCGCCCGGAUGUCCAGUUUGAGGUUUCAUCAAUACCCAUGUCCAGACGAUCGAAUUCACCGAACUGGAGCUCGUAUUUCCCGUACUGAUUGGCAUUUUAAGAGCAACGGUCGAGACAGAUUUGGAUUCGGACGAGUGGAACUCAAGAUAGGCCGUGACACUUCAAAACUGGCUACUUUGGACUGUCCUGCUUGUGUACUGGCCCAGUCCGCAGGACAUGCUUCAGGAAGCAAUGAACCUGGACGGAAUUUGAAGGGUUUUUAACUAGUCAAAGUGUGAUUUCGUGUCUUGACCAGAUCUGGUCAAUUUUAUCAUUUUCUAUGUUUAGAUUUACCACAUUUUUCUUUAAGUCUUUUGACUAGAACUUCUAUAUAAUGUAACCAUCAGAUCUGAAUAAGAUAAUUUUCGUUUUGCUUUCAUUCUUUUGAGUUUUUACUCUCUUUGUUCUUUGUUAGAACAUUUCUUAGUUUUUUGGUGAGGUUAUCUCCAAGUUUCGAUCCUUCUUUUGUUGGACCGGUGCGUCACAUCCGGCAACGAUCGAAGUCUGGUAGUAUCAUUGGGUCAUCCGCAACCCUUUGUGUCACCGUUCAUACCAUCAGUUCUCUUUCCUUACGGAUCGAGUUCAUAUCUUUCCAAUCCGGUUGAGUGUUCGUUCCUUAGGGUUCAUCAAGUGGUAUCAGAGCCACUCUUCCGGUAUUGUCUAUUUCAUUCUUCUUUCUCAUCUUCCAUUUUCUUAUAAAAACUUCUUCUUCUACCUUUCUUAAAUCCGGGCCCCUCAUUACCAUCCACCAUAUCAAAAAAAAAAGAUCUAAUCAAAAAAAGAAAAGAAAGAAAGAUCCACAUAAAAAAAAAAAAUAGAAAUCGAAAGUUUCAUUUGGGGAUUGGUGGUGGAAGAGAAAGCCUGCUGGCUGAGUAGAAAUCCAGCCUUUGAGGUGGUUAAAACGGAUUUAAAAAAAUCAAAAAUCUCUUAUCUAUCUAUCUUGAGAAAAUUCCCUUGUUAGCUUGGAUUUGCCCAUUGGGAUUCUUUGAUUUGUUCUCUCAGAACAUUGAGUAGAAACUUGUGUGUGAUCACCUAAAUCUGAGGUUUUUAUCUACUAAUUUUUGUGUUGAGAUUUUUCAGGUUUAUGAUGUUUGGUCUCCAAAGGAAAAGUAACAAGGAGAAGCACCCACGACUUUCUGUCUCUCAAACCUCCUUUAAAUAUGCUUUGAAUACUUUUGAUGAGUUUGUUGAUGUGCAGAAAAAAACAAUUUGGUGGAGCAAAGAGCAUGUCAAUACCUCCAAAGAUGUGGCUGAUCCAAAAAUGCAACAUUUUCAGUUUGAUGUCCAACAAUUUUGUGAUAACUUUGUGAAGGGUGUGGACAAAGCCCUCAAGGACGUCAGCAAGAGCCAAAAGAAGAGCACAUCCACACGUGCCCAAGUAGCUGAGCCAUCCUUUUCCAUCAGUAAGAAAACCCAAGGUGAAUCUGAAAACUGUUUUGAAGAAUUUAAAGAUUUUUCAGAUUCUUCACCUAUAUUUGAUGAAACUGAUGAAGAACCAAUUGAAAGUUUGAUGUCUUGUGAAGAAAGUUGUGACCUUCCUUAUCUUGAAUCUGAGUUUAUAAAUGAUAAUGAACAGGCUAAUGUAGAACUAACUAUUUUGCAACCGGAGCAUCCGAGUAGCCUUGUUUUGUCUCAACAGGUUUUUGAGGAAGAGCCACUGGAUAUUCCACAUCAGUGCCCAUGUCUUGACAUUUGGACAUCUUUGGAUGAAGUCCCAGAACCUAUCUUUGAUGAGGAGGACGAACCUGAUCCAGUCUUUGAUGAAGAAGCAACAAGCAUCAUAUCCACCUUUAUGGAGAGCCAUCUUUGCUUUGAUUCCGGCACAACUACUGCUCCUUCAUCUCCUGCCCCUUUGCUUCAUGAUCUUCAAGAGCACUGUGAGGAACCUUCUUCUCUUAAUUCUCUGCCUGAAAUGGUUGUGAACGUCAGUACUGAUGAUGUAACUCGUUUUAGUCUUGACAAGAUGAAAGAUUUUUGUGUUUCAAAAUCUGUUUUUGAUAACAUGAUUAAUUCUUUAAAAAUCUUUGAACCUGAUAAAUGUCUUGAUCAAUCACGUUUUCAAAAUGUCAAUGGCAUUACUUCUGGAAUUAUUUUGAGCUCUGAUCAGUUCUUGGAACAUAACAAAGGUUUUCAUCUUCUUGGAAGGCCAUUUGAUCUUGAUUUGCAACAAACUGAUUUUUGUGCUGAAAAAUCUCUUGAUUCGUUAGUUUGCAAAGGAAAUAGCUUUGAUCUGAGUUCUUCUAGACAUGUACUGAUCACUGAUGAAUUGUUUGCAUCCUCUUAUGCCUUGGACGAAAUUUUGAUUCAGAAGUUGUUGGAACAGAAAUCACUUGAAACUGAAAAUGAUUUUCGUGAUCUUGAAUUUUGUGGUUCUGUUUUGCAGCCUGAUCUCUUGAGUUUUGAAACUGAUAAUACUUGGCAUUUUCUGAGAUCAUUUCGUGAUAAUGGUGUUGUCUUGAGUUCUGAUGAUAUUUUGGUUUACAACACAUUCUUUGAGAAAUGCCUUGAACUUUUGAUAAAUGAUUCUCAAACUGAACUUCAGCUUGUGUGUUCAGAUGUUGGGAAGGAUAUGCCCAUUUUGAAAAUGAAUACUGUUGUUGCAUAUCUUGAUAAAAUUAUUGUCUGUAAUAUUUACUUUGAUGAGCACCUUGAAAGGCUGAAAAAUGUGCAAUUUGUUCUUGGAAAAGAUAUCUUGAUUUGUGAUUUGAACAAAUAUUUAUCUUGCACAUUUGAUCCUGGUCUUUUAGUGUUUGUUUUGAGUAUCCAGGAAAGACAGGUUCAGCCUCUGAAUGAAAGAAUUGGCCGUGCCCAACAACCUCAGAUUUGGAGAAGCUUUGUUGUUCAAACCGGCUACCUUGGUGCCAGCGACAGAGGUUCAGUCCAAGAAGGAUAUCUCAACAGUCCGAAGGUAUUUUGUCUUGAAUCCAACUUUACAAGAAAGACAACUCAUCAAGGAUUCACUGAGGCUUGGAAACGCAUGAAAAGCUUCACGGAUGAAGAAGUUAUGAAUUUUCCAAACCGGAGGUUCUUCAGUCCAUCUAUCCGCGAGUACCAGAUUUCUAAAGGAGAUUCAUGCCCCAGAAAGAAUCGACCUGAGCCAAAACCGAUCCUCCAUGAACCAAAGGUGUUUCCUCGGUCAUUCUCCUGUCUAAACCAAAAGCACUUUGCUUUGAAUAAACAGGAUAAGCAUGAUCAGUUUCUAAGGAGAGCAAGCACCAAUGGACCCCAAAGUACUUGGAAUUCCUUGAUAAAAAUGACUUCAAAACUCCAAGGAAGUUUCUGUCCAUUAUAUUCAUUUACUUAAUUUCCCUUGAAUUUUAAUUCCUUUGUAUCUGAUUUAUCUCUUUUUGAUAUAGGUACAUUGGAUUUGAGGACAAAUCCUUUUGAAGAAAGAGGGAAUGAUAGACCGCGGUCCACGGAUCAGUACAUGGAGCCGAACCAGCAUGAAGUUCAGGAUGUUCUGAAGUUUUCAACCGAGGUUCAUGAUUUUCACCAUACUGGCCAGACUGACCGGACUGUCCCAAAUGCAUCCGGAUGUAAGCUUUGGCUGGAACCAUGGCCAGAUGAUCGAUUUCACUGUACUGGACUUUGUCUUCAUCGUCCUGUUUUCCAUUUGAUGAAGAACAGUCGAGACGGAAUCGCAUUCGGACGCACGGAUCCUGAGUUAGGUCAUUGCUAUACAUUUCUGGACAGUACCACAUGUACCGCCCGGAUGUCCAGUUUGAGGUUUCAUCAAUACCCAUGUCCAGACGAUCGAAUUCACCAAACUGGAGCUCGUAUUUCCCGUACUGAUUGGCAUUUUAAGAGCAACGGUCGAGACAGAUUUGGAUUCGGACGAGUGGAACUCAAGAUAGGCCGUGACACUUCAAAACUGGCUACUUUGGACUGUCCUGCUUGUGUACUGGCCCAGUCCGCAGGACAUGCUUCAGGAAGCAAUGAACCUGGACGAUAUUUGAAGGGUUUUAAACUAGUCAAAGUGUGAUUUCGUACCUUGACCAGAUCUGGUCAAUUUUAUCAUUUUCUAUGUUUAGAUUUACCACAUUUUUCUUUAAGUCUUUUGACUAGAACUUCUAUAUAAUGUAACCAUCAGAUCUGAAUAAGAUAAUUUUCGUUUUGCUUUCAUUCUUUUGAGGUUUUACUCUCUUUGUUCUUUGUUAGAACAUUUCUUAGUUUUUUGGUGAGGUUAUCUCCAAGUUUCGAUCCUUCUUUUGUUGGACCGGUGCGUCACAUCCGGCAACGAUCGAAGUCUGGUAGUAUCAUUGGGUCAUCCGCAACCCUUUGUGUCACCGUUCAUACCAUCAGUUCUCUUUCCUUACGGAUCGAGUUCAUAUCUUUCCAAUCCGGUUGAGUGUUCGUUCCUUAGGGUUCAUCAGGAAGGGCCAGCGUGCUGAGUCAAAGAACCAGCGUGCUGAUAUGUGUACUGAUGGACAGCCACGGACGUCCUGUUUGUGCUGACGGACACACACGGACAGCCAUGGACGUCCUGUGUGUGCUGACGGACACGCAUGGAUACACACGGACAGCCAUGGACGUCCUGUGUGUGCUGACAGACAGCGACGGACAGCCACGGACGUCCUGUGUGUGCUGGCAGCCACCCACAGACGUCCUGUGUGUACUGAACAGACAGCCCACGUGGGCCAAAUUCACCUAAACAGUCCACGGGAAGGGCCAGCGUGCUGAGUCCAAGGCCCAACGUGCUGAUAUGUGUACUGAUGGACAGCCACGGACGUCCUGUGUGUGUGCUGACGGACACACACAGACAGCCACAGACGUCCUGUGUGUGCUGACGGACACACACGGACGUCUUGUGUGUGCUGACGGACACCCACGGAUGUCCUGUGUGUGCUGACGGACACACACGGACACACAAAGACACACACAGAGAGCCACGGACGUCCUGUGUGUGCUUAUGGACAGGCAUAGACAGCCACGGAUGUCCUAUGUGUGCUGGCGGACACCCACGGACGUCCUGUGUGUACUGAACAGACAGUCCACGUGGGCCAAAAACCCAAACAGUCCAUGGGAAGGGCCAGCGUGCGGAGUCCAAGGACCAACGUGCUGAUAUAUGUACUGAUGGACAGCCACGGACAAAGACGGACACACACGGACACACACUGACAGCCACGGACAUCCUGUGUGUACUGAACACACAACCCACAUGGGCCAAAAUCACCCGAAGAGUCCACGGGAAGGGUCAGCGUGCUGAGUCCAAGGACAGCGUGUUGAUAUCUGUACUGAUGGACAGCCACGGAUGCCUGUAUGUGCUGAUGGACACACACGGACAGCCACGGACGUCCUGUGUGUGCUGACGGACAGCCACGGACAGCCACGGAUGUCCUGUGUGUACUGGCGGACACCCACUGACGUCCUAUGUUUACUGAACAGACAGCCCACGUGGGCCAAAAUCACCCACGGACAGCCAAAAUCACUCGAGAAGCCAAAAUUCAAAAUUUAAUAUUUUUGAAGAAAGUUUUCUGAAAGGAAACAUCAAAAAUAUGUCAACAAAGAGUUUAGGAUGUCAAGUGUUGAUCAAAAGUUGCGGUAGACAUCCAUUUAGACCACGAAACCCCGAGCUUUGUAGUAUGCAAAAGACAUGGUUAGAAGCAAAAAAAAUCAUGAAAAUUUGCCAAAAAAUAGCUUUAACCAUUCUUAUGAAGCAUGCAAAAAAUCAGGUUCAAAUUCGAAGUAUUUUUUUUUACAUUAAAAAUACUUCCAGAACACAACCAAUGUCUACUGGCACUCUUCUGAGCCUACCCUCAGUACCCGAAGGGGUAUGUAGGGUUGGACUGCUCGGUCCAAAACUAUCGAUGGCUGGGUUGAGGUCGAUCGCCGGAUUGUCUCCGGUGAAUUUUCCCGUAACUUUUCUGGCUAAUUUUCCGGUGGACCGUUUUGCCCCUAACUUCAAAUGUUCGCGCUUGUGUGGUCUUGGCCUGGUUUCAUCCGUCUUCCAAUUGCUCUUUUGAUUACAUCUCAAUAGUGGUUUGAAAGAUUGAUGUUAGCAGGGCAAAUGAACAUUCGGCGUAUGAGUGGUGAUUGGAUAGCUAGUGUUUGUACGCUCUGUGUUCGCCCACCCAACUACAGACCAACUAUCCUCCUCAGUUUCUCACUAGCAUAGUUUUAUGCUUGUUUAACUGAUCCGGGGCCUGUGUUGCGUACCUAUCUGGAAGGAAUUGUUAAGCUUUGCUUAAAAUGUUGUUUGCGGCAUCUCCUUCACUGGGGAAGUCGUGAACACAUAAGCCGGCACUUGUGAUCCUUGCGUCUUUGCAUAAUUUAUGCAUUGUUCGCAAAGGUGAAUAAGCUGUUUGCUGAGAUCUCGGUUGCGGAAAUAUUAUGGGGGUGACUCGGCGAAAUUCUGUCCUGCUAAGCACGUUUGUCUCCAGACAAAAGAUGACGGUCAAGUCUGCGUCUGUUCCCACUUUCCAUGUGUUUGCGGGAAUAUGACGUGGUCUUACCCUGAUUUAUGAAUGCUACCUGGUUUAUCCUGCCAGUAGUCAUAUGCUUUUCUGAAAGAUUAAGCCAUGCAUGUGUAAGUAUGAACGAAUUCAGACUGUGAAACUGCGAAUGGCUCAUUAAAUCAGUUAUAGUUUGGUUGAUGGUAACUACUACUCGGAUAACCGUAGUAAUUCUAGAGCUAAUAUGUGCCACAAACCCCCGACUUCUGGAAGGGAUGCAUUUAUUAGAUAAAUGGUCGACGGGGGCUCUGCCCGUUGCUCUGAUGAUUCAUGAUAACUCGACGGAUCGCAUGGCCUUAGUGCUGGCGAUGCAUCAUUCAAAUUUCUGCCCUAUCAACUUUCGAUGGUAGGAUAGUGGCCUACCAUGGUGGUAACGG
rnacentral:lncRNA from 1 species